rnacentral:lncRNA from 1 species
UCUUUUGUGGUAUUUUUGGAUCCUUAUUAAAGCAGUGAUGGUAUAUGCCUUCUCUCAAGAUAUGUGGUAUUUGUGGUAUAAGGCAUAGUGACAUUGCCUUCUCUCUCACCCUACUCUAAUAAGGCUUUAAUAUCUGGAGCUCAUAGGUGGGAGAUAAAGUAUACAUACUUACAAGACAUUUAUUGUAUAGUCAAACUAUGGAUCCAAAGAAAUAAAUCAAUAAGCCAAAUCAAUAUUUGCAUGUGUGGCGAAUGAAUGGUGUAUGGUGAUGAUGGUGAUAACAAUGCUAAAAGUCUAAUUCUACUUUUGCUCUCUUGAGGGGAUACAUACCUUCCUUGCUUUUUGAAAUUUUAUGAGGAGAAUGAGAUGCUCUUCUUUUUCUUUCCUCUCAGGUGGGUAUCUUGUACCCCUAAUUCUACUGUCGGACACUUGUCCAUUUUUACCUCUCGUCUCACUUUUUCUUUCUUUCGAGGUUCCGGGGACUUGCCCCUUUUUAUUUGCUCGUUUAUUUUUUUUUCUCUUUUUUUUCAGAGCAAUCAUCUCUAUAGCAAGUGGUAGUAGCAGGAUAACUUGAGCAUUUAUUUCACAAGGGAAAACAGAAAUAUUUUUGGCUAUUCUCUCCCGGAUUAGGAGUAGAAUAUUUUUGGGUGAUUCUGGAGAUGGACAUGGAUGGAUAUAUGUAGAUGGUACUUCCGGAGUAGAAGUAGCAUAUAUGAGUGAACGUGCAAGUGAAUCUUGAUUUAACCACAUGACAAGCUCCUAAGGGUCUACACAGCUUGACCACACUCAAUGCUCAUAAGUAGUAAAUAGUAAAUGUGUGGCUCAAAGUCUAGCAAGCAUGUAUAUAUGGCUGUGGUAGGAAUUUAAACUCUCAUCAUACAGGAACUCAUCAUGCAAUAUUUUAAAGAUUUUUCAAAAAUAAAAUUUUCCAAAAUUCUAGCAUCUCUAGGAAUAGAUAAACAGCAGCUCAACCUUCCCAUAUCAUAUCCGUUAACCACUUAGAUUUCAGAUCAAGUUUUCAUCCCACAAGUUUAGAUCUAGAGCAAGCUUUAAAUUAUAAUAGUUAUGUAUAAACUUGAGAGAGAACUUUAAAUUUGCAAAUUAGGCAGAGCAACUAUUCAUCAUAUCCAUGCUAGAGUUUCAUUAUUAAGAUUCAGAUUAGCAUAGCCACUUUAUUUAUUUAUUAAACACACUAAGCAAAAGAUAUAUAUAUAAGCACAAAAUCUUAUUUGGUUUUUCAUAGUUUAUGUAUUUUAAUAUUCUAAUCGUAAUAUAAGUAUAAAGAUAGGUAGAAAUACUUAGCGAGAUAAAUGGGGGUGCUCUUCCCCCAAGCUGAAUUUUGACGUAAUUUCUCUUGAUGUAGCUAGCAGGUGGUAGAGGUGUAUUUGAAAGUGAGCAGCAUUCUGACAGCGAUUAGAAUGUCCUCCGUCUGCUAGUCUUCUUGAUUCUUAAAUUCUGUGAAGCUCAAAUAGACAACAAAGCUUGUGGAACUAAUUAAGUGUUAGCAUAAAUAUCUAGCCUUCAGCAUGUUGAGCUUCCUCAAUAAAUAUUACUCCCUGUUUUUAUAUUUUUAUUUUAUAAAGCAGAAAAGAAAUAUUUAUUUUAUUUUUAUGCCACCAUAGUGAAGGUACUUAUGGGUUUUAUGCCACUCGUAUACUCACAUGGGGCUUAGUAUUUUUUAACAUUUUUAUUUUCUUUUCAAGAUAGCAUGAUUAACUAAUAAUCUAUUUAAGGAAAGUAAAUAAUUAAAGGGAAAGGGGAAUGCAGAAAGGAUAAAUAUGGAUAACUACCGAUCUUACCUUUCGGCGAGGGUUCAAUGUUUUAAGUCUUCUUAACAAGACUUCUCACCGUGUUCAUUCUUCACGUGCGUCAUUUGAUUCAGGUGCGGACCUUGACGUCUGCACCUCUUCGUUUGCCCAGCAGUUCGAAGUGCGGCGUUGGCAGUAUCCUGCUCAGUGUGUUUGUGCUCGUAGAUCCAGGUCCUUCACUUGGUAGAGUCUGAGAGUUAUAAAACUCUUCCGUGUUUUGCUCGAAGUGUAUCUGCUCAUAGAGACAAGGCAGAGAUCAAGUGCAUGGGUCCUGUUGGUGGAAAACACCAACAAAACCUAAAGUGUAUUUGUUCUUCUCUAACCCUAAGCAUAGUGAGCAAGACAAAGUUGAUGGAUGAAAAGUUCAUGAGUGUAGCACUUAUAACAUUUGUCAGAUUAGAUCGCUCAACCUUAUAGAAAGAUAAUCUAUCUAUGUAUAUGUCUUUUUCUUUAUAUCUCUCAAAGAUUGAAUGUGUAACAUUUUAGCUCAUAUGAUUAGGAGUGUGGGAUCAUGGAGGUAGUACUAAGAACAAGGAUUAAAGGACUAAACAUGUUGAAUCAGUUGGGUUGGUUAAUCUAGAGUUGUAAAUCAUACAUGUUUGUCUCUUUUAUGAACGCUAGAACCAAGGAGAAGCUUAUAAAAGUGAUAGUCAAGUACCUUAAGAUCUUACCUUGCUUGAAGAGUGAUGGUACAGUAUCACCUUGUGGAAGCUUUCCUUUCUUAGCGGUUGUGCAUCGUGUUUGUGGCACCCUCCAUGGAUCAUCUCUCUAUGAUGAAUGAGCUAUGUCCUUCUUGUGAAAAUUGUUAAACUUCAUGUGUCACUCUCUUCGUCUCUAAUGUGAGUUUAUCUUAGGACUUCCCAAAUCGAUAUUGAAAGUUUUCUGCAGGGGUUAGUCCGACAAAAUAUACCAAUAUCUACUCAAGCAGUUUUUAGUUCAGUAACCAAACUAGACUCCAUGUCUAAUCAGAUUAAGGAAGGCUAUUUAACCUAAGCACCAUGCUUAAUUUAAAUGCCAAUGGAUGUAUGGCGAGUACUUCCAAACCAACACUUGCUAGUAAAUAGACAAAGGUAGCAUGACAGCAUUUAUAGAGAUCUACUCAAGUGGAGAUGAAGUAGUGUGAUUAGUACUUAACAAAUUGAGCAUGUCUCAAAGGUAGGGACAACCAACAUAGCAACAUGGCAAAGGAUGUUUUUAUGUAAAGUACUCCCCCAAGCUUGAAUUUUACAAAAUUCAAGUUUGGGUGAAUUUAAUUCAAUGUUGUAUGAUGAUUGGCUGGACAUACCUUGUGCUUGUCAUUCAUCCGAUCUUCUUGCUCCAAUCCUAGAAUGGUUAGUGACAAGAAUACCCGAAGGAAUAUAUUUGUUUUUACAAUUACCCUUAUAUGCUCAAUACACCAGGUAAUGUUGUAAAUAAUUAAAAGCUCAUGUUAUGAUCUGAUCAGUGCUUAUUUUAAGACACUAAGCUUGUCCUUGGGAAACCAUCAAUUUAUGUCGGCGAAGUGGUUUCCCUUCCAACGCUGACCUAUAUCAAGAUCAACUCAACGAGAUCUGCAAUAUUUAUUAUAGACAUAUGCAUCGACAACCGCCCUUUUAAAGUUUUUGUAAAUAGAAAGGAAGAGGGGGUUGGAGAUCUCAAAUGUGGUAAUGUUGGAGAGACCAAUAGAUUGGGAAGAUGUUUCAUAUGAGCAUGGAGUAAAUGAAGUGGUUAUGAAAUAAAUUCUAUGCUCAUUAAUGUUAUUUUCGUCUCCAAUCUGAAUGUUCGGAGUUUCUUCUAGACUGGUCUCACCUAUGUCCUCUUCUGUAGUUGGAUGAACCUCAUCUUCAAAGGGAGUCAAGAACUCACCAUUUGAAAUUGAGCCAAAGUCAGAAUCCAUUAAGGCUUCUUCCUUAUCCAUCCAUUCUACACAUUUCAGCCAUUUAGAACUUAUGAUCAAGAAAUGGGAGCUGAUAGAAUUUUCUAUAUGGCUUAGCUCUCCUUCUAUGACAUUACUUGACAUGUCAUCCUUAUGGUCUUCAUGACUCCUACGGUUUGGUCGUCUUGAUGGAUUGCUAGGAUCAUCAUGAGACUUAAAAGUAGAGGGAUAAGAGGGGUCUCUAAGGUCAAGGAUGGAUUUAGAACUUGUGAACAUGGAAGGGGAGCAGAUAGAGUUUUCUAUAUGGCUUAGCUCUCCUUCACUUGAUAUGUCAUCCUCGACUUCUUCAUAACAGGAACCAGGACAUUCUCUAAGAGAACCAUUAUUGCGAGGAUUUGAAUUAUCCCUGCUUAAAGGUCUCUUAUGGAACCAAAAGUCUAAACCAUCAGCAUCUGAAAGAUUUAAGGUCGGAAUUCCUUCCUCCCUUGGAGAAUUUUGGGAUAUUGAUGGUUUAGGAUCGAUAGCUAAAGUUUGGGAUUGAAGUGGUUGUGAUCUGGCUAUCGAAACUUCUUCUUCUUGUCUAGGAACUGGUUCUCUCUCUUUCUCAGGGAUAUAAAAGCUAGAAGACUUUCCGCUCAUUAAAUCAAUCAAAUUCCAAGCUUCACUAGCGGAUAGGUGGUAGAAGGAUCCUCUAGAGGCUGUAUUCAAGGUUUGCUUAAUUUCCCCACUAAGGCCCUCAAAAAAUGAAUUAGAAGAACUUCUUCUGGAAUAGAAAGCUUUGGGCCAGUGAGAGUAAGGUUAAUAAAGUGGUCCCAUGAUUUCCUAAGAGAUUCUUCUUCCAGUUGUCUAAAAGAAAUAAUCUCACGCCGAAGUUCCGCCACUUUGGAGAUUGGAAAAUAUUUAGAAAGAAAACUACUAUAUAACUCCUUCCAAUCUCCAUGAACACUCCCUAUUUUGAGUUUGUACCAAUGUCUAGCUUUUCCCGUUAAAGAGAACGGAAACAGCUUCCAUUUAAGGGUCUCAUCGGACAUGCCUUCUAUGCGAAGGAGGUCACAGACUCUAUAAAACUCUCUUAGGUGUGUGUAUGGGUUUUCCUCACCUUCUCCUGAGAAAGGUUGUUUUUGAACAAAUUCUAUGUAUUCGGGGUCUAUCUCAAAACUAGAUGCUAUGAUAUGCAUUAGAGAUUUUGGUGGUUCGAGAUGUGUGCCCGUAGGUCUAUGAAAUUCAUAGAUAGACAUGUUUGAAUUCAUGAUAGACCAGAGAUCAAGGAUUAGAUAAGAAGAAAGAGUAGCAGAGAUAAGGCAAAAGAUAAAAGGAAAAGUAUAUAUAUAUAAUUCUUUUUUUAUUAUUAUUUUUUUAGAAAAUGAUUAAGCUAGUUCGUAGUCAACUCAGCAACCGUUUCCCCGGCAACGGUGCCAAAAAUGCUUGUUGACAGUUGUUAACACCACUUGAAUACUAGGUUGUCAUCCCCAGCAUGGCACUAGAGUGUACUAUGGUAUUUAUACGCACACAGAUAAUCCGCAAGCGCACGGAUACUGUUGAAGCUUUUACCUGGUUAAAGGUUUUAUCGUAUCCACAGGGAAAUGGGAGAACUAAUCUUAUGCUCUAACUUAACCAAGUUAAGUAAAUAGGUGUAAAUAGGAAAGAUGGUAGAAUUGAAUAAGAACAAUAUUAAAGGUAUGAUAACAAUGGGUGAUAAUAUGGGAAUAGAGAAUAGAGCAAUUCUAGUAUAUGGGCGAUGGUAGCAGAAUAGAGAGGAUAACUAUGGUUUCUCUACUUCAAAGGGGUAUGUCUAUGUCUGGGACGUACCACGUGAUAAGAUUACACCACAAAGGAUGCUUAUCCAUAGGUCGAUAAACCCUGCCCGUCCUGCUAACGAGAGGUGGACUAUAGAGGACCAACGUAACUGUCACCUACGCGGCCUACCACACGAUCCAGCUAGACAGGGGAUAUCCACAAGUAAUCUAGGUCUAAGCACCAUGCUUACACCUAUACUACAACUCUCACCUAUAGCGUCCUAUAGAUUAAAGUACUCAAAAGAGUUGUGAACCAGAACAUACAUGAUUAGUAAUUGCAUAAUGAAUUAGAAGUAGAUUACCAGAGUCAUCCCAUGAGCAAGCUUAAUUAGAGCUUGAUCAUGACGAAGUACAACCGGAGGAAGAACCGACAGGCCGGCCUCUCCUCCAAUCCUCCCUCGCUCUCUAUCUCGCUACUAUCUAUAUCUACUCUAGUUUAGAGAAGAGAGGAGAGCUCUCAUCUCUAAACCCUAGCUUUUGGUCUGUCUAUGAAUAAUGAAUAAUGAUCAAGGGGUGCCUCCUCCAGGGGCCAGGGGUCUGGUUAUAUAGUCCCCUCAAGUGAACCUGGGCCGUCGGAUCAAACCGACAUUGAUUGAAUGGUUAUUCUUGAUCCUUUAGGUCGGUGGAGAUCUCCCGAGAGAAAGAGUCCUGAUUGGGCUCCAAGUCAGGGCGGACGCCCAGGGCAGGAGGGCGGGCGCCUUGCCUCAGGCCCCGUUCGGCCUCCGCUUCCUUCCCGUGGCUUCUGGAGUCUUCUAGAUGUAAGAUAAUUGUGUGGCACGUUAAUAUCUCUAUGUAAUCCCGACGUGUGGGCCUUUCUCUUGUAUUUCCUGAUAACCCCCUAUAGAAACAGACAAACACCAAAACUCGUGGAAUUCUGUCAGAUAAAACCCUAAGUCUAGAUGUUGAUUUCAUUUGGAUCCUUUUCUUUGUUUAUUUGAUAAUUAAAUUUGAUACUUAAGGACCAUCAACAAUUUGUAAGGGCGGCUGAAUGUCGCACCUGAUUUUCCAAAGAAGACCAAGCGCUAACUAUAUGUGUGCCUAGGAUGUCCACACGACACAUAUAGCGACAAAUAUGGAGAAUAUCAAGAACAGUGCUUUAUUAUAUAUUGGAACAUAUUUACAACAUGGCUUACAUCUAUUACAAAGCAUAGCAGAAACUAAUCCUAAUCUUCACUUUGGGUCUCCAUUUUCCACAGGGACGGUUACCUGGGGGUACACUCGCCUAGUACUCCUGGAACAUCUCAGGGAACUCCGCCUUUGUAUCACCAUCUGGUACCCAUCCAGGAUUUUUGAUUGUUGAAUGUAAAGCAAGUGUGAGCGCACCAUACUCAACAAGUAUAACAUGAGGGGAUGCAAGCUCAAAAGCCUUGACUUGGUUUGACUGCGAUAAGCAUUUUUAGUUGGUCAUAUUUUAUUAUUAGACCUAUGUUUCUAGGUUAUGCUUAAGCUCCCAAGGUGAGAAGUAUAAUUAACAUCAACAUUACUCAUCACCCAAACCAUCCAUAGAACCAUCUAUCUCGAAAAGGAUCCAGGCCGCUCUUGACCGAGAGCACGACUGAUAUAUCAGUUUUUAUAACUCUGCAGAGUAUGUACAUCUUUACCCAUGAGUCGUGAUUGCCCUUUGCCCGAGGGGGCCAACCUCUUGACUCACUUCUAAGGUAAGUCGGCAGGGAUCACUACGUAACCUUUCACUAGACACCCUAACUAGUUAGUGGCCGCGAGGUUUCAGCGGCAAGUGUGCAUAGAGACCUCCUCCAAGAGGCACAUGUGGUCGUGGCACUGUACACACCAAGGUUGGAGCAAAACUAUACACCACGAGGCAACCCCCUCUUGCGCCUUUCGGUAACCACUAACAAGCUAGAGACAUACUAGAUACUUGAUUAAGAUCAGAGCCAUGUGAUUCUCAGGGUUGUACUGUAAGUCCUGGGUUGCCGCUUUAAGAUUCAGUCCUUACGGAGGGCAGACUAGAGCACCCAAAAAGGCCCAAUGCUCUAGCCCCCUGAUAUCCAUGUUGCUAGAAAGCAUCAUUAUAAUAUUGAUUCCAUAAUCAUUAAUCAGUAUUAGUAUUAUAUAGUUUGGUGAUUGCAGACUAAGCAAACUACCCAUAUGCAUAACCCCAAGGUAAACAAGGAUACAAGAUACAAUAGUUCUAGGUAAAGUCCUUAUGGGUUUAUCUUAUUAGACACAUGCACAUGAAGAGGUGAUUAAAUAGUUAUUAGGUAACAAGGGAACUCAUGUCACACUUGCCUCAAAUAGUGCUCCAACUUGUCCAACUUUCCUUUUGGAUCAUCCUUGUAUAGCUCCUUCUAACGUUAGCAACAACCAUCACAAGCAUCACAGACAAGCCUAAAAACAAUACAUCAAUCAUUGUAAAACAUCAUAUAGAGGUUUUAAAACAUGUAGGGCUAGUAACUACGAUCGUUGAGCGCAAAACCAACUAAACAAAGCUAUGGUUUAAAGUUAUGAAAAUUCAAAGGUAGAAGAUGGAAGAUAUAAAUGAUAGGAAUAGAAUAGGCAUGAUGUGUGUUGGCUAACUUGAAAGAUUUAAAUAGCAUAAGGUUUUAUAGAUGAAUGGUAAAUGAUCAGAGGAUUGUAUACAAGAUAGACUAGAGAUUAUGAAGAAUGAAGUAAGCAUAUAAAGAUUUAAGGGCUUGAUCACACGUGCUGGCUAUGCAAGCUUGAUGAGAGAAAGCAUAUACAUGGCAAUGGCUACACAAUAGUGAGAUGAUAUGGUGAGAUACUAUCAAGAUUAUUUAUAUGUGGUUAUAGAACACAAUGAGGCAAGGACAACUAUGAUGGUUGGAAUGGCUAGAACUUCGCGAGUGCAAUGCGGCCAUAGAUUUAAGGUGGAAGCAAGGCUGCACAUAAGGUUUGUGUAUCCUGAUUACUCUAUAUACAUUUGAUGGAGUGCUGCUGCAUAUGAGAGGUCAUAUGGGAUCAUAUUAUGGUCACUAGUGCACCAAAGCAAGUAGCUAAAUCCACAGGGGAAAUGAUUACAAUGAGCUGCACAUUGACUGAGCAUGCAUGUGCGAUGGGAAGUAGUGGUCCUUGCCAACAAAAUGCAGGCCUAUGCUAAGCUUCUGGGAUAGAUAUUUGGUGGAUUUGUGUGCAGCAACCAUAGACAUAGUCAUGCAAGAGAGAUCAGUGAUUUGAACAAUGGUUUGGUGGGGAACGUGGCAAGACUCUGGUGCACCUAUGAUGUGCAUGGCAGCAGACAACAGGGGUUAUGAUCCUUGAUGACAUGCUCUGAUUAGCACAAAUGAACAAUCCAUAUUUUUGAGUCAUCGUGGACUGUAUGAGGUAUGCUCUUGUAAAAGGGAAUGGUAGUUUGACCAUUUGUUAGGCGGAGAACACGAACUGAAAAUGGAUGGCAUUGCUGAUUUCCGGACAGCAAGAGUAGCAGGUACUUUGGCAUCAACAUCUCAGCCAUUGGGGCACCUAUGGCCAAGCCAACCAGUAGAGAUUUGUACAAGGAUAAGACACACAUGAUGCCUAAAGGGUUUGAUGAUUUGACUAAUGUAUGAUGGGGAAUAACACUAUCAAACAGAGCCACAACGCUGCUGAAACAGCAGAGACAACAGAAAACCGAAAAGACAAUGAUAUCUCUUUCAUCUUGAAUUCUAUUACCAUGGAACUUCUCAAGGGUGUGUGCAAAGGUACAAAACACACUAUGGUUGAAGGACACGGUCAGUGGAGCGAUGGUUCAACGGGAAUGCACAUGCCAACCGACAGGAAUGCUAAUGCGGGGCAGCAGGGACAUCAUGCACAAGAACAUUUAUAACUCUUUUGUGUUGGGCUCUAUGGUGAUGAAAUUUGGCAAAGACAUGUGCAACUUCAUGAAGAAUAGCAUGUUCAAAGGAUUUGAUGAUUGGAGGAAAGGAUCUUAUGGAACAUGCAUGCCAAUCGGAAACAGGGCCGCUGCAAGGAUGCAGGAGCAGCAAGCAUGAUGAUAUCAAUAACUUCGGUAUCGCUGGUCCUAUGACCAAACUAAUUUGCAGAGGCGUGUACAAUAUCAAGAGCUAUAUCAUGAUAAAAGUGUUUGGUGUCCAGAGGCAUGGAUCACUAGGAAUGCGAACGGUAACCGGCAGCAACACUUUUGGACAGAGGGACAGCAUAGAGUAUCGCUAGCAAACCUCGCCAAAACACGAUCUUACAAGAAUGAUGGUCCAUAAUUUACAGCAAGAAACAUGUAUACAAAAUGGAGAUCAUGUUGGGGGUCCUCACAUUGUGGUUAGCAGUAGUUGCAGAUGAAUUUGGCGGUAGCCUUCAUCGAUGAUGGGGUGGCGAUUGGGACUGCAAUCAGCAGGACAUCACCAAUUCCACUUCAGUGAUAAUCUACACCAUAUGAUAUAUCAUAGAGAUGGAUAGGAUGUAUAAGAGCAGCAAGAUCAACGAGUGAAAAUGCAGGGUCGACCUCACCAUGAGUUGCAGCCCACAUGCUCGGUCCAAAGGGGGAUGGCGACAACAUCCUCGACAUGUUCAGGCUUUGGGAUCAGCGGUGCAGCGGGAAACAAAAUGCAGCAGCGAGGGAUCGGUUUGGGGAUGUCCUGCAAUACAUGGGGAUGUCAAGAGAGGGAUGAGCAGUAGAAGACAAAACAUGUAGAGGGAAGGAAAUAAGGGAGGAUCAGCUUACUGCAGUAGAUGGGAUCGGUAGCCAGUUCAAAUCAUGAUCCAUUUGCUCGGGCUGGAAUUGCAACGAUAAAAUGGAAUCGCUGUUGCACGGGGGGCUUCAUUUUUGUCGAGAGAAAAGGGAAGGAGGAAGAGGAGGGACAUCCAUGGAGGUGGGAGGGAAUUCAUUGAUCUGCAUAGAGCAAGAGGAGAGGAGGUGUUGGCUGCUGUCUUUGUGGAGCAACAGCAGGUGGAAGAGGUGGUGUGAGAGGAGGAGAGGGGCUGCCCAUUUGCUGUGUGCGUGAGGGAGGGGGAGAGAAGAAUAUAUAGCUGAGUUUGCUGCAUGAGUGCAUGCAAUUGAAAAGAAAUAAAAUAGAGUAAAAGGGUGCUAUCAAGUGAGGAUUGAAGAGAUGUGUGUAACCCAAGGAAUUAAGGGGGGGGGGGAAAUUUGAUGCUGCUGCUGUUUUUGCAUGAGUGAAAAGGGAAUAUGGGCCAUAGGAAAAAAAGAGAGGGGCUGCUGCUGCAUGUGCAUGUAUGCAAUUAAAAGUAUAGAAUAAAUGUGCCCACAUGAGAGUGGUGAGUGAAGGGAGUGCUGUCAUUUUGCAUGAAGGAAAUGGGAAUGUCGGCAUUAGUAGAGAGAGAGGAGGGGAAGAUGCACCUAGUUGUUCUCUGCAUGGUUGCAUGCACAGGAAAGAGGGAGUGUAGGGGUGCUGCCAAGAGAGAAAUAAAGAAAGAAGAUGUUACCAUGAGAAUUGAAGAAGGAAGAAUUAGUUAUUGUUGCUAUUUUGCAUGAGAGAAUUGGGAGAAGGCGUCACAGACAGGAGAAGUGGUUUACUGCUCACUUGACGAGGAAGAGAAAAUAUUGUUGGUUGUUUGCAUGCAUGUAAUUGAAAGGUGGAAACAAAUGUAGAAAACAAAUGAAGGAUUAAAGGAGCACUAUUAAGAGAGAGAUGGGUGUAUGAAAUUAAAAGGAGAAAAUGCUGCAUCAUAUUUUGUCAUAAGGACUAGAGUGGCGUCUAGGCAGCAGAAAAGUGUGGAGGCCAGCCAUCUAUUUUCUUUAGUGUUUAUGGGCAUUAGAGCUUGAUCAAAACAGAGACAUAAAGAAGAUUAUAUAGAAGUAAUAUCUCUACUAUAAUUGACCUAACAGACUUAUGCUUGGUCCACCCAAAAAAACCACCCCGCUGAGGGUCUAAACUAUUGUGUACCCAGAAAAAUGUACACAAAAAAUUAUCUUCAUUAAAAUCAAGGGCUACAAAACCACCCGAAUCCAAUCCGAUGGCUAUCGAUGAAACUUUGAUGCAACGCGCGCUUCGGCCCUCGCAACAACACCGGUCAAGGUUCGAAUACUUAGAUCACGGAAUAAAAAAAGGCCCAACGUUAGGGAGGACGUGAACAAUUAUCCCGCCGCCGGCCGUCUCCUUCGUGGCCUGUCACCUCCUCCACGAUCCCGUCGCCGGCCGUGUCCUUCUGGAACAGGAUGAGAGCAGCAGUCCCCUCCUUCCGACGGCAAGGCUCCACACUCGAUCUGCGAGCCGAUGGCAACGCUUCCCACACCACCGUUGCCAUCAGACAAAAGUUCGAUUCCGAUCACCGCAAGCGCCCUCCACCCCACGCAGCCAUCGUGGGAAGAAAAAAAGUACGAAGCGACUUCUGCCGCCGCCUCCUUGCAGGUUUUCCCACUACCGCCUGAUUCGAUCGCUAGCAACGUACGGCGGACGCGGCGGACAAGGCGAGGUCGCUUCAUCUCCGAGCUCCGAGCUAGAAGUUGUCUGCGCGCCCUGCCAUGUCCUCCAACACCGCGCACGCCCUUCCUCCUCCCUUCCAUCCCCGCCGCUUCUUCCAGGGUUGCAGCGGCGGUGGCGACGCCUUGAGCGCUGCUGUGGGCUAGAGCAGGCUGUGGUAUGGAGGUGGACUGAGAUGUGGGCAUGCGACAGUCGUAGCGGGAGCAAGGACGACGGGAGCGCUACAGUGGAGGGGGAGAAGCGAGAAGACGACGCCCAAGCGUUCGAUCAGUUCAGCUUCGUCAUGGACAACCCCUUUUUCUAGCUGCCCGCUGUUUUUGCUGAGGGCGGCAAUGUUAGCGAGAUGCUCUACAUAAUGCCUCAAGCCUCGCUUCGUCUCCUUGUCUGCUUCAUGUUCUGAUUAUAGAGCAGGGAAGAGAGAACCAUAUAUGGGUAGUAUAGUGGUCUGACUUGUUGCAUCCAGAGGAUCGAAGUCAAGGGCUGGGAGUGCAUUUCGUAUAUCAAAUCAAGAGUUUUGAUGGUUUGUCAGGAAACAGGUAUGUAUUGUGCUUUCUUUUCGUGAUGACAAAGGUGAUAUAUAUGCUUAGCUCUCAUCAUAAGAUGAAGCAACACAUUAAGUAAGACAAUGUAGUUCAUUCUUGCCGUUAAUUAUUAAUAAGACUAUGAGGUCUGAAGGAUUUUAGUUUCUGAAUAAGAUAUUGAUCUCUUUGUUAUUUUACAUGGUCUGUUUAAUUUUUUUUGUUUGCUCCCAUGAUGCUUAAUGUGAAUGAUUUUACUUUUUGAACCAAACAGACUCAUUUGAUGGAUAUUAUAGUCUUUUAAAUAAUGCAUAAUUGUGUCAUUCAAAACUUCCGAUUGAGGUGUGUAUAACCACGUACGUCUUAUUGUAGAGGGAUAGUGGGCACAAGGCGAGAUACAUGCCUCCGCAAUCCACAUUAUCUUUGCUGGAGAGGACAUAAAUGGGUAUAGGAGGGCAGGGGCAAUGAACCAUUGCUCGCGCGUGCAAUGGCCAAGAUAUGUGAGGGGACGGCAUGGUGGGAUGCACACAGUUCAUGCUGCAUGAGGCCAUUCAGGCACUUCAUGACAGCUUGCCAUCGACUACAUUGAGCAAAGGGUUGGAGCACUUCGGCAAUCCACACUGUCUUUUUAAUUGUGCAAGUCUGUAUAUAUAUUCAGUUAUUAUAUUCCAGAAGCAUUACCAUUCUGAAAACUUUAGUGCUCUUUGAUUCAGAACAACCUGAAUAUAGUAUGCUUUUGGUUCCAUAUGUUUAGUUAGUGCAAUUGCUUGUUUUCCUGUCAUGCCAAGAAAUAAGAUUAGGUAAUUUCAUGUUCCCUUCCUCCUAUAUUCCUUUUACCGGUAUGUUACCAUAUCAUAUCCAGUUUGAUAUGUGUGGUAAAGUAAAUAGGCAUCAUAAAUUGAUUUCCAAUUUGAUGCAUCCCUGAAAUGCUACCGUGGCGUUAGCACGGGUCCUGUACUAGAAGCGAGAAUACCCUACAUGUAUAACAAAGGUUUCGGAAUUCAAAUAUUGGUAAUCACUUAUAUUAUGUUUCAUCUUUGUUAUCACAAAAAUAGUUAUUUGAUUUGUAUAUAAUAAAUAAACAAUUGUUCUUCUCUAGGAAUUUGGGAGGCUUUCUUGUAUACCAUUUCAUGAAGUUGUGGGACGGCAAAACAUUGCCACCGAUCAACACGGUAAGCAUGCAUAUAUUCUCUACCUAUAUUUCAUAUGAUAGGGAAUUGAUAAAUUGUAAUUAUCUACCAUGCACAGCUAUCAAGUUCACUAAGAACUGAAUUCUUGGUCGACAUUUUGACAAGCCGAGCAAAUGAAUGUUUCAACAGCCUCCCUGAAGAUCUCCAAUACAUGAUUAAGGAGCUAGGCAAAAUGUAACUUAUAUGGUUCAUAACAGAAAUAACUUUACUAUGCCUUAUUAUAUGCAGAAGUGUUCAUGAAAUGUAUACAUGCUCAGAUACAAUUAUGUGUAAAAUUUAAACUAUGAAGAAUAUUGGUUGUUUUUAUAAACAUCUCCAAGAUUAAGCCGUAGCGUUAGCACGGGUAUUAUACUAGUACUAAGGAGUUGGGCUAGGAAAUUAAGAGACCGAGAGAUUAAAUGGUAUUGUCAUUUGCAUGAGGUGGAAGAAUAUUAUGUGACAGGAGAAAGGAGAGAGGAUGACCAUGAAGGAAGGGGCUGCUUCUCCACGUGAAUGCCAAGGAAGAAUAUAUUAAUAGCUACUGCAUGCUUUCAUGCAAUUGAAGAUAAAAAGAACAAUUGGAGUAUUGCAUCUGUUUUUGCAUGAGAGCAGUAAAGUAAUGUGGAGUCUAGCCAUGAUCUACUAUUUAGUUGCUGCUCAAAAAAAAUGGAGAGAUUAAGGGGAGGUGAUCAAAAGAAAUGUGUCAAGGAAAUUUGUGAAUGAGCAUUAUGUGUGACUAUUUUGGUUGACCAGAAAAAUAGGGGCUGUAGCACAAUGAGAGGGAUGUUGUUUUCACAUGAAAGGGCAAGGAAAUUUAAGAUUCAUUUAUAUGAAUGAUUGAGAGACGAUAAAUGAUUGGCCUAAAUACUUUGUGGACACCAAAAUGAUUGAGAGCUCGAGAAAGAAACGGAAGGAAAGAGAAAGAGAAUAGGGCGUGCUAGAUUUCUGUUGGAUGUUAGCAAAAGACUUGAUUGGAGUUUUGACUACCGAUUUGGUAUUUUAGGGAGAUGAAGAUGGGAUCAAACCCUAGGCGUAUUUUGGAAACAAAUAAAUUCAUUUUUCAAGCAUAAACAUUGUGCAACAGCAUGAGUGCAACAAACCACUAAGUUAAAUUGAAAAAACAAUUAGAAACUCACUUUUUUCCCAAUAUCUAAAAUGUUGACAACAUAACUAAAGUUGGAACAUUUUAUAAAAUAAUAAAAUCUUUAGCUUUGUUUUUAGUGUUUUCUAAGUUACAUUCCAAUGUAGGAAUUUUGGGGUGUGACACUGAAUCACCAGCCGCCCUUAGAAAUAAGUUUGUAAGGGCGGCUGGAUCACGAGCCGUCCUUACAAAUCCCACAGUAAGGGCGGCUGGAUCAACAACAGCCCUUACAAAUGCAGCCAUUUGUAAGGGCGCCUCAUGUUACUAGCCGCCCUUACUGUGGUAUUUGUAAGGGCGGCUCGUGAUCAAGAAGCCAGGUGUUGAUGGAAAAUCCACUGUAAGGGCGGUUACAUCACCAGCCACCCUUACAGUGGAAGUGCCCUGGCUCUUACAAACCAAUUCUGUAGUAGUGAUGGGACAAUCGUCUCCUAGUGCUGCUUCCACCACGGGAAGUUCCUAUAUCAUGGCCAUCCUGUUGUGCAGCCCAUGCCUUCCCUCGUGUGAACAGACCCGAAAAUCUCCUUCAUCCACCAACUCCAGGAAUGUUAGGAACUAAUGGGUGGCCCCAUACAAUUUUAAUUCUGGACAUGGCAAAUUUACUCUCGCUUCUGAGUUGCGGAAUUUAAAUUCAAGUGUGUUGUUGGGGCCACCCGAAAUAAUAUUUGCCUUGAUGAAAUGUUCAGUGGUUAGCAUAAUCCUAGGCUCAGUGAUGAAAUCAUUAAAAUUAUUAAGCAGCAAAGCAUUUUGGCAAAACCUUGUGAUUAUGGAGGUGAAGCUAAUUGAGCCUGCAAGGGUUGGUAAUUGAAUCCAAUGUUGCACCAUGAUGGUUGAUCUUGUCUUGAGCUAGGGGCUUCUUUUCUUGCUCAACUUGUGGCUUUGGUCGAGGCUCUUCUUGUUGCUUCACCAAUUGUUGGGUUAGGCACAUUGAGGUGAGAUGACCCCAACUGCGGCACUUGAAGCACUUGACAUGCUUGAGCCUCUCUUCUUCUUUCAUCUUCUUGAGCUUCUCUUUGUUUGGGCAACCAUUAGCAAGAUAUCCCACUUUAUGGCACCGAUAGCACAUGAAAUGAGAAAGCUUCCUCUUUUCUUGCUUUCUUUUGCCCUUUCUCAUCUUCUUAUUGAAGCCAAGGCCACACUUGUCACUAUAGUUUCUUUGAGUCUUCAAUAUGUGCUCAAAGGUGACUUUUGAGUAGUAGCAUCUCUCUAGCUUGUUGCUCAAAUUCUUCACAUUUUGAGCUCAUUAUUCUCCUUCGAAAGGUUAAUCUCACAAGACAUAGAGGUAGAACAAGCAUCUAUAUGUGAAGAAUAGGGCAUAGAUGAUAAAUCAUCACAAGAGGUGGAUACAUGCUUCUUGCCUACAUCACAAGGGUUAGUAACAAUAUGUGAUUGAUCAUUUGACCGAAGUGAUGAGCUCUCACUAGUUUUAAUUUCUUCAUUAGAAAUCUUCUUCGUUAGAAAAGCAUGAUCUUUUACCAAGUUAUCAUGAGUAACACAAAGUUCCGCAUGAACCAAUUUUAGCUCCUCAUGUGAACAAGUAGUAACAUAAAGUAGAUGCUUUUGUUGUUCACAUGUGGUCUUUAGAAACGAGUUUUUAUUUUUCAGUUUACUUGUUUUUGCCAUCUUAUUUCUUAAAGCUUUGGUGAGUCUACAUAGAAGCUCAAAAUUUGGAUCAUCACAAUCAACAAUCACACCUCCAAUAGAUACCUUGUCGUCGUCGUGAGACAUGGAGGAAUGCGAUGAAGUGGAUGAGCUUGUAGAAGCAUCACUCUCAUAGCCAUCAUCUUCAUCCUCACUUGACCAUGAGGUGGAGCAAUCCUCCACGACCACCAUGUUGUGGUCAUGCUCAACAUCCCCACGUGCAUCCACUUUGGCACAUCAUCUUCUUUGUUGAUCGCCCUAUAUUUCUCAUUGAGAUAACUCCAAAUCUCAUGAGCGGACUUCAUAUCCAUGAUCUCACCAAAUAUGUUAUCUUUCAUGGAUGAAUAGAAGAUGUUAGUAGCUUGGUAGUCGAGAUGUAGAAAUUUCUCUUGUGCUUGAGUUAGAUUCUCUUCAUCCAACACAUGAGAAAAGCCUACAUCUACCAUCCACCACAUUUGAGGAGAAAUAAACUUAAAAUUUCAUGUCAUCCAAUUUCUCCACCGUGCAAAGUGUGUGCCAUCAAAAAUGUGUGGACACUCAACAUCUAGCCCAUAAGCCGCCAUCCUCUCGGGUCGGUGAAGACCACAAAUGAGAGACCUAGCUCUGAUACCACUUGAAGGGUCGAGAUGGCAGACUAGAGGAGGGUGAAUAGUCUAUUUAAAAAAUCUACAAACUCACUAGAGCAAGAGGUUAGUAAAUAACAAGGCGAAGCUUUUUACUCUAGCUCUAAUAGGGUGUUUGCUAGCCACCUAUCCAACAAUUCUAGUUGAUAUGAUCACUAGGCACACAAGAACUAUGUCCCUACUUACACCAGAGAGCUACCUAAAGUUUCUAUAUAAGAAAGUAAGCUACUCUAGUUUGUGGGAAUGUAUAAGAGAGGGUUUGAUCUUUAUACCACCACGUAGGGGGGAUGAAUUAAUCACAAUAUAUGAACAAUCAAGCACCGGGAGAAUGCCAAUCAAACUCAAUUGAGACACUGAUUUUUCUCUCGAGGUUCACGUGCUUGCCAGCACGCUACGUCUCUGUUGUGUCGACCAACACUUCGUGGUCCGGCAGUUAAUUGGGAGUCCACACCCAAGCUCACCAUGAGCACCACAAGGACUUACCACAAGUGAGAUAGAUCAAUGACAUGCGCAAUCCACUAAUCGUUUCCUUUGGCUCUCCAUCAGGGUAGGCACAAAUCCCUUACAAACACCGGGAGAUGGCCACGAAUAAUCACCAACUCGUGCCAAUGCUCCUCCACUGCUCCAAGCCACCUAGGUGGCGGCAACCACCAAGAAUAACAAGAAAACCGCAGCCAAAUCGAUCCCCAAGUGCCACUAGAUGCAAUCACUCACUUAGAAUCACUCUCAAUCUCAUAAAGAUGGUUAAUCUAUGAUAGAGAUGAGUGGGAGGUGUUUGCUUAGGCUCACAGGGAUGUCAAGUAUGCUAGAAUGCCAAGAGAGUGAGCCCAAAGCCGGCCAACAACUAUUUAUAAGCCCCUCAAACAAAAAGAGUCAUUGGCCUUUUUACUGGGCUAAACAUGGGACCACCAAACGCGCUGCAGGUAAGUCACCGGAUGCUCUAACAGAGCGUCUAGUGCUCUGAAAACAGCCACGUCCCCUACUUGAAUCUCGUGUGUUGAUCUCUAACGGGCAAAAACGAACCACCGGACGUGGUCAAGUAGAUACUGGACGCGUCUGGUGCACAUCGGUCAUGUACGCAGAGAGGUUUGCAAAAACGCAGGAGCACCGGACGCUCCAUUUGCGUCCGAUGCUCUCAGUCAAACGCACCUACUGAAGUCAAGUCACACCAGACGCACAAACAGGGUCUAGCUCACGUUCGGUGCUUAGCGUCCGGUGCUUUUAGCUAACUUCGCUAGAGACUCACAGCACACCGGACGCGCAGGCUGAGCGUCCAGUGCCUGCGGUCAAAGCGUCCGGUGAGUGUUGAGAAACUUUCUACUGACGCAAAAGAAACUUUCCACCGGCACAAAAGAAACUUUCUACCAGCACAAAAGAAACUUUCUACCAGCACAAAAGAAACUUUCUACCAGCGCAAGGGAAACUUUCUACCUCCGUCUUAAAGUGUGCCAACAUGUUGAUGCAAAAACGUAUCUGCAAACACAAAGGGCUAAUACCCGAAUCAAACGUUGAGGCGUGCCAGCCGAUUUAACCUAGCAAUCGACAAAGGUGAUAACUUGAAUACUUUGCUCCCGACAACAGCGAUGCACCCAAAUGUUACGGCCAAGAGGUACUCAUGCAGAACUCGAGAAUUCACCGAGUAUUGCUCGAUGAAUCCUUAAGAACUCGUAAACAAAAGAAAAUAUGUGAGUUGACGAAGUCAUCGAAAAGUAGAUAUAAAAGUAGAUGUAAAACUUGUGUAUGAUAUAUGAUUGAUUGUCCUUCUUACAUCGCUACUAGGCCUAUAUUUAUACUCUGUCCUAAAGAGUUACAAUCGUAUACGACUAGGAUUUAAUUCCAAACAAAAUAGGACUCGUACAUAAAAUAAACCCUAACAAAUAUGGAAAAUAACUACCUAUCCAUCCUGGUGAUCGGCAUACCACCAUUGUCUUCAUCGGCACACGCCCUGUAUCUCUUCUAACAAUUCUCAUAGCUUUCCUAAUUGGCAUCGACAAUCAUUAGUAAUCGGCAAUGAUCGGCAACUAUGACCAGACUUAGCAACAUCUUCCUCCUGUUGUUUUAUCAUCGGCAUCAUAGGCUAUCGACAAUGUUCUUAUUGGCCAGACACAUCACCUCUCUGACUGCCGAUUCAAGCCUCAUUGACUAUCCCGAUUUGUGUCCAAAAAUGGUGUCAACACAUGCCCCCCAAUUUUGGAGUAUGAAAACAUUAAUGCUCCAAAAUUCUCUCCUGAUAAUGAUGACCUUUUCACAAAUAUUUCCUUCUGGCAACAAUUAAUUACAAAAUCUAAACAACCUUAAUUCGGAUCUCCAGCAAAUACCUCGAAUCUCUCAACCAUGCGAGCCAAAUCUCAUAGAAACAUGCUCAUCGGCAACUGUUCUGUUAGGGUUGAUUGCCGAUGGACCGAUCAUGUACAGUGGAAUAUCUCCUAAAAUCAUGAUUACUUGCUGUCAAAUCACCUAUACAAUCCCUUGAUUAUCGUACGAACAGUUACCAUAUCCAUCUGAACAUCCUCGAAUUUCAUGGAUACGGCAAAGAGAAAAGUCAAAAAUACCCCUACUCACUUCAACCUAUAAAUACCUCCUUCCUCAGCACUCAUUCUCUACCUUGCCAUCCUCCAUUCCCAAGUUCAUCUCCCCGACGGCGGCAUUGACGAAGAACAAGAACUCCAGCAACGAAAGCCUUCUCCAAGAUCUUCAAGUCUUCAACCCUUCUUCUUUUGGGAAGAAAUGGCUGUCAACUUCAUCGUGCCUGAGGUCAAUCCAUUCCCACUCUUUCUUUUCUUUACUGUAAUCGUUUACUUUUGGCAAGUUUAUCUACUUAGCAAUUUCUCCCUAUUUCUUCCUAUUCUUUUGAUUUCCAAACUCUAGGAUUUGAGUGAGAAAAUCAUUAUUCCCACUGAACAACCCCACCUCCAAUGUCUUGGCCCAAUGGUUGAUCCAGAUCCCACCAAUCUGAUCAACGCAGAAACCAAUAGGAUCCCUUUUAGAGCUAAGAACUUCUCUCUAGAUCUAUGGAAGGACACUUUCCGAUCCUGGCCAAAACCCACUAAAGGAUGGAAAGACUGGUUCCUGAGGGUUAGCAAAACAAAUGAAACGUACUGGGGGGAAUACAAAUUAGACCAAUGCAUUAGACUCUCCAUUGCCGAUAUGGAGAAGAAUGAGUCGAUGAUGAUAGCAGCUUCAUAUUUUUGGUUAGACACCUUCAAUGCUUUCAUCUUUGGUCACGGCCCAGUCUCCCCACACUUGCCGAUGUUGUCAUGCUUACUGGCUUAGACAUCGCAACUGCCAAUGACGGUAGUAUUUUCGGCCAUAAAACUGAAUAUAAAGUAGAAAGCCACAACAUCGGCGGCUGGUCAGGAUAUGUCCAGAAAUAUCGGCAAACUGGAUCGGUCGGCCAGAGAGAGCAUGUCAUCUUUCGGAACAUGUGGUAGGGCUAACCUCUGUUUACUUAUCGGCAGCAGAGCGACUAGCUAAUGGUAACCGAUUCCCCCUUGGCUGAUAUCUGCUGGGUUCUGUCUAUCAUCUCCUCCACCAAGUAGCCGAGAAACUCCUGCUAGGUGAACCCAUCGGCAACCUGGGAGGUGUUGAUGCAAAAGCGGAUCUGCAAACACAAAGGGCUAAUACCCAAUUCAACGUUUAGGCGUGCCAGCCAAUUUGACCUUACAAUCGACAAAGAUGGUAACUCGAAUACUUUGGUCCCGAAAACAGCGAUGCGCCCGGAUGUCAUGGCCAAGAGGUAUUCACGCGGAACUCGAGAACUCGCCGAGGUUGACUCGAAGAAUUCCAAAGAACUCGUGGUAAAAGGAAAAUAUGCAAAUUGACGAAGUUGUCGAAAAAGUAGAUGCUGGAAUAGUUGUAAAAACUUGUGUUUGAUUGAUUGUGUCUUACAUCGCUACCCUGCCCAAAAGGGUUACAAUCAGACACGACUAGGACUCGAAUUCCAAAUUAAACAGAAUUCGUAUACAAAACAAACUCUAAUAAUUAUGGAAAGCAUAAAUUAUCUUCCACAACCGAUCGGUACACCACCAUGAAUCGAUUGACAACUCCUGCGCUCUCAUUCAUGACCAUCGGCAAAUCAUCUCCCAUAGCCAUCGGCAGCCACCUUCACCAGUCAUCGGCACGAAUCCAUCACCACUCCUGGACUUGGCCAUACCUUGUCUUUUUCUCAUCGGCAUCAACCCUCAUCAGCAACUCUUCUGCAGACUAGUCACCACAUCUCUGCCUGCCGAUCUACACCUCAUUAACUCCAAAUACACGUCCAAAGAUACAUGUCCAAAAACGGUGUCAACACAUGCCCCCCAAUUUUGGAGAAUAAAAUCAUUAAUACUCCGAAAUUCUCUCCAAUAAUGUUGCCUUUCCGCAAUUACUCCUUCCCAUCAGUAACUAAUCACCAGAUCCAAACAACCUCAGCCCGGUCUUCCAGCACGUACCUCGAAUCCCCAACUAUUUGAACCGAAUCCCCUUAAUAUACGUUCAUCGGCAACAUUUUCGCUAGAGAAGACUGCCGAUGAACCGACCAGGAGAUCUUGCACAGUAAGAUAUCUCCAAAAUCAUGUCCGCUUGCUGUCAAAUCACCUACACAAUCCCUUGAUUACCGUGCGAACAUUUACCAUAUCCACCUGAACACCCUCGGAUUUCACGGAUACGGCGAAGAGAUAAGUCAGAUUUACCCCUACCCCUUUUUGUCCAAUAAAUACUUCCUUCUUCGGUACCCUUCCUCCAUCUUGUCAUUCUACAGCCUCAAACCCACCUUUCUGGCGGCGGCACUGUUCGAGAACUUCAAGAACUCCAGCAAGGAUCUCCUCCAACAAUCUUUCGAGUCUUCGAUUCUUCCCUCCUCUCGGGAAGAAAUGGCCAUCAACUUCGUCGUCCCUGAGGUCAACUCAAUACCCCCUUUCUUCUUUUUCUUGUUGUACUUCUAUAUCUCUGCAAUUAUAUUUACUGAGUACAUUUUUCCUCUUCUUUGUUUCUUCCCCAUUCUUUCAACCUCCAAACCUUUUAGGAAUUGGCUGAGAAAAUGGUGAUUCCUACCGAUCACACCACUUUCAAUGCCUUGGUCCAUUGGGGAACCCAGAUCCCAUCGAUUUGAUAAACGUAGAAACAAAUAGGAUCCCCUUUAGAGCCCAGAAUUUUUCAUUAGAUCUAUGGAAAGAUACCUUUCGAUCCUGGCCCAGUUCUACUAAAGGGUGGAAAGAUUGGUUCCUACGAAUCGGUAACUCGAAUGAAGUUCAAUGGGGUGAGCGCAGACUAGAUCAAUGCAUUAGGCUAUCCAUUGCCGAUAUGGAGAGGAAUGAAUCACUAUUGAUAGCUGCUUCAUACUUCUGGUUUGAUACCCUCAAUGCCUUUGUAUUUGGUCAUGGCCCUGCUUUCCCUACCCUUGCCGAUAUGCUAAUGCUCACCAGUUUAGACAUAUCAACUGCCGAUGACAAUCAUUUAUAUGAUCGCAAGCCUGAGCGCAAAGUAGAAACCUGCAACAUCGGCGGUUGGUCAGGAUACAUUCAGAAGUACCGGAAAACAGGACCAGUCGGUCAAAGGGAGCAUGCUGUCUUCAUGAAUAUGUGGCUGGACAAGUUCGUUUUAUGUGGUCGAUAGGUAGGACCAACUUCUGUCUACCUAUUGACAGCAGAAAGACUGGCCGAUGGCGACCGAUUUCCUCUCGGCCGAUAUUUGCUUGGCUCUGCCUAUCACCUUCUCCAUCAAGUAACUGAGAAACUCCUGCUAGGCCAACCCAUCGGCAACUUGGGAGGUCCUUGGUGGUUCAUCAACAUGUGGCUUAGUGUCCACAUGCACAAACGCCUUGGAUUUGACCUCUUCGCACAGCGCUUUCCAAGAGAUAUAGCCGAAGAUCAAGAAUUGGCUGAUGACGAAUCGGCAACUCGCUCACCCUUGAAUUACGAUGAAGCAACUAUAGUCUUACCUGGUACUGGUGGUAAUGAAGACAAGGUCAGCCGAUUCUUCCAAACUCUUUAUGAGGGCCUCGCCAAAGAUCAGCGGUCAUGGAUGCCUUACGAAGACCCAGAAACCAGAUUCCCACUGAUCUUUCAUCCCUUCGAUGAUGCCCUUAAUAAAGAUGCCGAUUUGAUGAUGGCGAUCAUCACACCAAGGGCUAUUCCAGUGAACACCUUCGGCAGCGGAAAGAACUCCAACCCCACCUAUGAAUUCUACAACCCAUCGAAACUGGCUCGUCAACUGGCUUUUGGGCAGUUGCUAAUUGGGCUCUAUUAUGCCGAUGUAGUGAAGCCAAGGGAAACCACAACCAGCGGACUUGAGUGGAUAAGAAUAGCUCAGCUUCAGCCGAAUGCCGAUACAUCAGACAUCGAUUUAUCAGCAUGGAUCCCAGCUCUUUUCAUCACUCAGGCAUACAAAUAAUGGUGGGAAGAGUGGAAAGAACAUCUGUUCUGCACAUCGGCUCUGACAUACCGCGACAUGAUCGACCCCAAGUACAAGGUCUCUGAUAACAUUGUAAGUCUUCAACCGAUACCUUAGCUCUUUUGUUGCUUUUAUUCUCAUCGGUAACUCACUUCUUCUUUUCUGAACAGAUUGACAACCCACCACCAACAGUCAGUAGGAGUGGAAAGCCGAUCGAACUCCUUCCAUCAGGCCCGAUUUCUCUGAUCGGCAACAACACACCAAGCCUGGCAGCUCUAAUGCACCGGAAUGUGUGUUUUAAGAAGAUAACCACCAGGCGGUCAAAGACAUCUCCAACAGUCGCCGCUGCCACCUUGGCACAAGCUUUCAAGGUAAAUCUCUGAUUUCCUCAAUUUAUACCGAUUCCAUUCUAUACUUACACAAUCUCUUCAGGAUACAUCGGCUGCUAUGGGAACUUCAUCGGUAACUUUUAUCCUUUAACAAGAUUUUCAUCUAUAUUCUUUCAUAUGUGGACUCAUGAAAUCUUGCUUAUUGCAACAGCAAACUACCAAAUCGGCAAAAACCAAAAGUACCAAAACAAGUGUCGAUGCCCCCCUAGUCCAGUCAAGUCAAGAGAAAAGGCCCCAAGAGCACUAAGUCACAGCCAAAAUGCCAGAAGACAGCACCGCCUUCUCCUCCUCAUCCAGUGUUGCCGAUUCACAUGGAAUUGUCCCCCUCUUCACCAGAAAUCCAGACACAGCAAGCACCAUCUCCACCUCAAUCAGCACCUUAGCCACAAGAAACGCUAGCCGAUGUGCUUGAGCAGACUGCCGAUCCAGUGGAUCCAAUCAUAUCAUCGGUAGUCUCUUCAGAACAGACAAGCACUGCACCCCCUCAAGGUAAAGUACUGUCCAUAAAAUUAUCACUGAUGGAUUUAUUUUUUCAAAUUAUAAUCAUCCUUAUUAUAUUUCAGUUGAUAUUGUUCCAUCGGCAACUCCAGCCGAUCAACCCGUGGUACCAUCGGCAUCAACCAACCAGAGGUGAGAAAUAGCUCUGAAGCAAGUAAGUUAUCGGAUUUCCAUCCUUUAUAUCACUAAUAUCUGAUCAUCAAAUAACUUAUCUUAUUUUGUUCAGGAACAAGACUCCCCAGACAGCUUAUUUUCCUUCGCCAUUGAUAUUUCCGAUGACGACGGUGAGGAAGCGAGCUCCUCCAAAGCAAUUGGGAUCUCAUUGGCAGAAACCAGAGCCAACUGGAGGACCUGUUGGCCUUGUUACACCAAGAUACUGCUCACUUGGUUGAUGAUUCUGAUCUGGCCAAAGCCAUAUUCAAGACUCUUCGCGGCCAAAUUCCAGUCGAUGCUGAAGAGAUCCUUUUUCAAGCUACACACUUGGAGAGCCGUCAGCUCCAGUACCAAAAGGCUACUCAGCGCCUUGCCGAUAGAGCUACCCAUGCCCAGCUUUUAGAGGAGGUAAUGCAAGUGAAGCGUCUUGCCGAUGAGAGACACAAGAGCAUCGGCAUCCUGCAAUCCUCAGGGGAAACACUGAAACAGAAGAUCUCCGACCUAUCGGCAAGAAGGGAAGUCCUGCUAGCUGAGCUCAAGCAAGUGGAAGAGGCUCUAUCUCAAGCUCAGCAAGAAGAAAGCCAGCUGCCUGAGAUGAUCAAGACUCUUCAGCAGGAAUGAAACAUCCAGGCUCGCAAGGCGCUACAGAUGAAGAAGAAGCUGAAGCCAGUGGAAGGUUCUACCGAUGAAGACAUCUGGGAGAUAGAAGAAGCCGAUCAAAUCCGUCUGCGCGCCAUAUCGGCCAUCCAAGCCUUGCUGAAUGCAUGAGUUCUUCAUCGGCGACUUAUUUUGUUCCGUCCUUAGAAUACAUCUGAUCAUUCCAGUCUAGCCGAUAGGACUGUUAUCGGCACUUUUGAAAACAUUAUGCAAAAUCCCAGAUACAUUUCAUCCAGCCGAUAGGAGUGUUAUCGGCACUUAAAUUCUUACGCAUCAACCCAAAUGCUUGGAUAAUACUUCUUUAAAUAUUUUCCAUUUAAUGCUCUAGGAAAUUCAACUCCUUCGAGAGUUUCCAAAAUAUAAGCAUUACCAGGAACAGAGCGAUUUAUCCGAUAAGGACCUUCCCAAUUAGGAAACCAUUUUCCAAACUUUGAACAUUUAGUCCCAAUCGGUAAAAUUAAUUUCCAUACCAAAUCUCCAUCGGCAAACUCCUUAGCUUUUACCUUUUUAUCAUACCACCUAGCAACUCUCUUUUUAUUUUCUUCUAUACUCAUCAAAGCUCUCAGCUGAUGCUCUGCCAAAUCGUCCAAUUCAUCUUUCAUCAAAGUAGCAUAGUCAUCGGCAGCCAAUUGAUCUUGAAAAGAGACCCACCUAGAUCCAGUUUUAAUUUCCCAUGGUAGCACCGCAUCGUGUCUAUAUAUUAACUGAUAAGGUGAAACUUUAGUCGAUCCAUGACAUGCCAUUUGAUAUGACCACAAAGCUUCAUUCAACAAUGUAUGCCACCUUCUAGGAUUUUCUUCAAUCUUUCGCUUAAUGAGCUUAAUAAUUCCUUUGUUAGAUGCUUCGGCUUGUCCAUUAGCUUGAGCAUAAUAAGGAGAAGAAUUCAACACUUUAAUCCUCAUACCGAUCGCAAAUUCAUCAAACUCUCCCGAUGUGAACAUAGUGCCUUGAUCGGUAGUAAUUGUUUGAGGAAUACCAAAUUGGUAAACAAUAUGCUCUUUCACAAAAUCAAUCAUGUUAGCCGAUGUUACUUUCUUCAAAGGAAUAGCUUCAACCCACUAAGUAAAAUAAUCAGUGGCAACUAAGAUGAACUUGUGCCCCUUGCUUGAUGGCGGAUAAAUCUGACCGAUUAGAUCAAUAGCCCAUCCCCGGAACGGCCAAGGCUUAAUAAUGGGAUUCAUGGCCGAUGCGGGUGCCCUUUGAAUAUUACCGAACCUCUGACAUCCUUGACAUCCUUUGAAAUAUUUAAUGCAAUCCUCAAGUAUAGUCUGCCAAUAAUACCCGUUUCUCCUAAUCAUCCACUUCAUCUUAAAAGCCGACUGAUGUGCUCCACAUACUCCAUGGAUUUCACCCAUCAAGCUUUUAGCCUCAUCAUCACCCAAGCGUUGGAGCAAAACUCCAUCUAUUGUUCGAUAAUAUAAUUCUUCUCCAAGAAGCACAUACUUGGUAGCUUGAAACCUGAUACGCCUUUCAACCUUUUUGGAUGGAUCCUUUAAGUAAUCAAUGAUUUCCUUUCUCCAAUCAUUGGCACUGACUGCCGAUAACAUAUUUAAGAUAGGCUAAUAUCCCGAGGCAUGUUGAGCCAACCGAUUAGCCUCUUCAUUAUGUAAUCGAGGAACAUGCUCCAACCGGAAAUCCUUCAAUUCCCUUAACAGUUGCAUCCUCUUUUCAUAAUAAGUUAUCAAACUUCACUUCGGCAUUCAUAAAUUCCAGCCAAUUGAUUUAUAACAAGCAUAGAAUCACCGAAGAUCUCAACAGCAUCUGCAUGAACCUUUUUUAAUAAUUCCAACCCUUUGAUCAGAGCUUGGUAUUCAGCCUGAUUAUUCGUUGACGUGGCACAAUCGGCAAAGAGAACUCAUACUUUUUUCCUCGAGGAGAAAGUAGUACUAUACCGAUUCCUGCCCCCCCCGGUCACACGUGGAUCCAUCAAAGAAAAGUGUCCAAGGAACAAUCUCCAAAGUAACUACUACACCACAAUGUUGAGUCACAAAAUCAAUCAUAAUCUGCCCCUUAACUGCCUUAGCCGAUUCAUAACGCAGAUCAAAUUCCGACAGCGCCAAAAUCCAUUUACCGAUUCUAUCACUCAUAAUCGGCAUAUAUAGCAUGUACCGGACUACAUCAUUUUUGCAUAUAACCGUGCAUUUGGCUGAUAGCAAAUAGUGCCUCAACUUAAUACAUGAAAAGUAUAAGCAUAAACAUAACUUUUCAAUUGCCGAAUACCUUGUCUCAGCAUCAACCAACAUCCUAUUUAGAUAGUAAAUCACACGUUCUUUCCCUUCAAAUUCUUGAAUCAGAGCCGAACCAAUGACCAUCCCAUCAGUAGACAAAUACAAUUUGAAAGGCUGUCCUUGCUGAGGUGGAAUUAGAACUGGAGGAUUUGUCAGAUAAUUCUUGAUUUCGUCCAAUGCCGAUUGUUGCUCUCUUCCCCACACAAACUCUUGAUCGGCUUUUAACUUAAGUAAAAGACUAAAAGCACAAAUCUUACAAGACAAGUUAGAUAUAAAUCGCCUGAUAAAAUUUAUCUUACAGAUCAGAGAUUGGAGUUCAAUUUUGUUGGUGGGAGCAACUAUUUUGUUGAUAGCAUCAAUAGAUCUCCUACUAAUUUCAAUUCCUCUCUGAUGCACCAUGAAACUAAGAAAUUGCCCUGCCGAUACACCAAAUGCACAUUUAUUAGGAUUCAUUUUCAAACCAUGUUUCCUUGUGCACUCCAACACCUUUCGUAGAUCGGCAAGAUGCUUUGUGAAAUCCCCACACUUAACCACCACAUCAUCAAUGUGAAUUUUCGCCAGCUUGCCGAUGAACUCAUGAAAGAUAAAAUUCAUAGCCCUCUGAUAGGUAGCACCAGCAUUUUCAAGCCAAAGGUCAUGACUAUCCACUCAAACAACCCAACAUGACCAGGAUAUCUAAAUGCGGUCUUUGGAAUAUCUUCUUUGGCCAUGAAUAUUUGAUUAUACCCUACGUUGCCAUCCAUGAAGCUAAUAAUCCGAUGUCCAGCUGCAGCAUCAACUAGCAAAUCGGCAACUGGCAUUGGAUAACCAUCCAUCGGUGUAGCCUUGUUAAGAUUCCUGAAAUCAAUGCAGACACGAAGCUUCCCAUUCUUAUUGUAAACUGGAACAACAUUGGAAAUCCACUCGGCAUACCGACAUUGCCGAAUAAAUUUAGCUUCGAUAAGUUUGAUUAUUUUGGCCUUAAUAUCAGGAAGAAUAUUAGGAUUGCAUCGGCGAGCUGGCUGCUGAUGCGGCCGAAAUACUGAUUUGAUAGGUAACCAAUGUUCAACAAUAGAUCCGUCUAAACCAGGCAUCUCGGUAUAAUCCCAAGCAAAACAAUCUUUAUAUUCUUUUAACAAAUAAGUUAACUGCUACUUACACUCAGAAUCUAACUUAGCACUAAUAAAAGUAGGCCUUGGCCUAUCACCACUACCUAUAUCUAUUUCUACUAGAUCAUCAGCCGAUGUAAACCCCUGGCCCAAUUUUCCAUCAUCGGCGAACCUAUCUAUUAAAACUCUUCGUCAGAACCGACUGCUUGGAUCGGUGGAAUUUCAUAACAGCAACUUUGAGAAAAAUCCUUUUCCUAAAUCUCCCCUGAAAUGCAUCUGGUCCUUUAUCUGCCUCUGUCGAUGCGAUGACAUAUGAAGAAUCUCCUGGAACAAUCUCAAUCUUGUCACCUACCCACUGAACUAAACAUGGUGCAUCGUAGAUGGGAUGCAACAAUUGGCAUGGAUCCAAUCUCUCCCUAGUAGUAGAUUAUAAGCACCCUUUCCACUGAUGAUGAAGAAAGUUGUCGGCAAAGUUUUGCUGUCGAUGGUCAACUCAACACAUAUGGCUCCCUUGACUGGAGACACAUUGCCUUCAAAAUCUUUUAGCAUCAUAUCUGUCUUGGUCAAAUCUUGAUCUCCUUUGCCAAGCUUCCGAUAGACUGCAUAUGGCAUAAUAUUGAUAGCAGCUCCAUCAUCAACAAGUAUCUUGGUCAUCGGCUGCCCAUCAACUCUGCCUUUGACAAACAGAGCUUUAAGAUGUUGUCUCUCAUUAUCAGCAGGCUUUUCAAAGAUAGCCGUCAUCGGAUCUGUUGACGGACCUUAAUGCUCACAUUUAACCGUCAACUAAUCAUGGAAAACGAUCCAAAUGCAACCAACACCUAGACUUAGGGUUUUAUCUGACAGAAUUCCACGAGUUUUGGUGUUUGUCUAUUUCUGCAGGGGGUUAUCAGGAAAUAUGGAAGAAAGGCCCACAUGUCGGGAUUACAUAGAGAUAUUAAUGCACCACGCAAUUUUCUACCAUCUAGAAGACUCCAGAAGCCACGGGAACGAACGGGAAGGCAAUCGGGCUCGGAGGCAGGGCGCCCGCCCUGGAGUUGUAACCAAACACGUCCAAUCUCACGGAUUACGUUCCACCGACCUAAAGGAUCAAGCAAAACUGUGCGAUUAAUGUCAGUUUGAUCUGACGGCCCAGAUUCAUCUGAAAAGACUAUAUAAGCAAGGCCCCCUGGCCCUGGAGAGCAUACCUCUUCUACAGAAUCAAAGCUAGGGUUUCAAUUCUUCAUCCAAGUUGAGAGGAUCCCUCUAGUUCUUCUAGUUCUACCUCUAGUUCAUCUAGUUCUACUUCUAGUUCAUCUAGUUCUAGUUCGAGUUCCUCUAGUUCUAGUUCUAGUUAGUUCUAGUUGUAAUCUAGAAAAUAGGGAGAGAGAACAGGAGAGCAGAGGAGGAGGAGCCGAAUCUGUCGGAUCUUCCUCAACAUUGUACUUUUGCAGCAACUGGUUCGUUCUUCAUCGUUCUCCAGGUUCUUCAAUUCAUAAUUCUUGAGUUCUUUAAUUACUUCUAUUUACAUUCAAGUUAUUUUUUGGAUUCCCACUUGCAUCAAGUGCUCUAAUCUUUGCAACAUUAGAGUAGUAAUUAAUAGACUAGACGUGGUGUUUAGUCUUGCAAUUACAUAGAAUUGCACCCAAUCCUGCGGAUUGUUGUGGUAGCCUUAGGGUAGUGACAGCCCUAAUGGUCGACGUAUUCCACCUCGUUCGGAUCGGUGUUUGUAGGACCGUAGUCAGACCUUCCUAGCCCCCUUCUCAUCUCUUUCUGUGGUUACUGCUCUAAUGUCCCGAUAUAAAUAAUCUUUGAAGUAAUUAUUGACUCUUAGAUCAACUAGAGAACUCUCAGGAAACUUCCUCUCUUCCCACCAAAAAUAAUUAUAUAGUUAUCCUUGGGCGAUCUUGAUUCUUAAUUAGUACACUCACGUUCCCUAUGGAAAAUCGAUACUCUGGAAUACUCCCGGGUGAAAGCUACAUCGGUAUCCGUGCGCUUGCGAAUUUUUCUGUUUGCGUUUAAAAUACCCAACAAGCUUUAUGGCGCCGUUGCCGGGGAACGGUAGCUGUGCUAGUUUCGAACCAAGUCGUCCGUGUAUCCUUUUUCUUUUCCUUUUUUACCACACUCACCUUACCAUUUUCACCAUACCACAUGGAUUUCACUCCUAUCUAUAAAUUCUUUGCUCCAAAGGGCGAGUUAUUAGAGCCACCACCAUCAUCACAUCCAAUUCUUACAGAUGGCUACGACCUCGGCCCUGAUCUAAUAACCAUGAUUCAGGAGCAACCCUUCUCUGGGCAAGUAGAUGAAGAUCCAUACACCCACCUUAGAGAAUUCGAGCAGUUGUGCUCUUGCCGAUCUAUUUCCGGCAUGACACAAGAGACCCUUAAAUGGAAAUUAUUUCUGUUCUCCCUUUUGGGAAGAGCAAAAAAGUGGUAUGCUCAUUCUGUAGGAGGCGUUAAUGGAAAUUGGGAUGAACUUCGGGACAACUUUUGUCUCGCUUUCUUCCCACUUUUUCGAAUCGCUGACCUUAGAAUCGAAAUUCUUACAUUCAAACAAAGAGAGAAGGAAACUUUUUGAGCAGCUUGGGCUAGGUUCACAAGCCUUACCAAUUCUGGUCCAAACCUUGCCCUGCCUAACCAUGUAUUGUACUACCACUUUUAUCGUGGUCUAAAUAAGGAAGCUGCUCUUCACCUCGACAUUGCUUCAGGAGGCUCAUUCACACACAAACUCACAGAUGAGGGGAGAGCUAUCCUAGAGAGAAUCCUCGAAAAUACCCCUUACACAGGCAUUUAUGAUGAGUUUCCUGAAGAAGAAAAAGAAGUCGAGCCUAAUCCUAAACCAAAAGAAGAGGAACUUGCAACCGAGUUAGAAAUUCCACCUGACCCAUCUAUUAAUUUGGUUAUAGAGAAACCUCCUGAUAAGGGAAUGCAAAACCAACUAAGGGAUGAUGAACCACCACCUUUAGAGCAUCCCUUUGAAUUUGAGGAAGAUCUUUUUGAAGAUUAUGGAAACACCUCGAAUUUUCCUAUCCAAACACGACCUCUAGCAAGGACCACUCAAUCCAUUCUAAGAGGAGAAUCUGUUGACAUAGAACACAUCAAGAGCCUUUCGGCUAUUCUGAGUUAUGAAUGGCUAAUAGAAGCAGAGCUGUCUCCUGAGGUAGCUCGAAUCAUCACUCCUUCAACCAUUCUUCUGUGCCAAAUUAGAAGGUCCGCUAGGAAGGUCCACUACAAUCCGUAUGUUGGGAUAAAUGUUAUUUCUAAGGAGUUAGCUGACACUCUUUAUCCCAAUGAGUCCAUAACCCCAUCUCAAAAACUUUUACAAAGUCCAUCUAGAUUAAUUCUAGAAAGCCAUGGGGUAUUAAGGGCAGUUCCUGUUAGAAUCAAGGACUCUAGAAUAUGUCUAGAUUUUCUCAUUUUUGACAUACCGGAGAUUCCUCUCUUGAUUGGCAGACCAAUCAUGAAACUUCUACAAGAACAACCACAACGAGGUCAUUUAGACUUCAAGGUUGGGAAUUCCACUAUUGUUGUUCCUCUUGCUAGAUCAAUUAACAUGAUAGUGGAACCCAAACUUGAACCAGAUCCUAUUGAGGAGAUCUUAAUGCUGACUCAAGAGGAGAUGGCCUAACCAUUCUUUAAUCAUGAACACUUUGUUCAAGAAGAAGAAGAGUUGGUAGAACCCGUUGAGCUAGACAAAAAUGAACAACCUUCACCUCAUUCGAUAGAAUUAAAACCUCUUCCUUCUGGCCUUAGAUAUGUCUUUUUGCACAACAACCCAAAAACUCCAGUAAUUAUCAGUGACAAGCUUUCUGAUUAUGAAACACAACAACUUGUCACUGUUCUUGAAAGGCAUAGAUCAGCAUUUGGCUACUCUCUCGAAGAUCUCACGGGCAUUAGUCCCAUUCUCUGCACUCAUCGUAUCCCUAUUGAUCCCAAUUUUACACGUUCAAGGGAACCACAACGGAGACUUAACAAUGCUAUGCGAGAGGUUGUUAAGAAAGAGGUCCUCAAACUCUAUAAUGCUGGGAUUAUUUAUCCUGUGCCACAUAGUGAGUGGGUUAGCCCUGUCCAAGUAGUGCCAAAGAAAGGAGGAAUGACGGUCGUUAGGAAUGAGAAGAAUGAACUCAUCCCUCAACGAAUUGUCACUGGGUGGCGUAUGUGUGUUGACUAUCGAAAACUCAACAAGGCUACAAAGAAAGACCACUUUUCGUUACCCUUCAUUGAUGAAAUGUUGGAACGGCUUGCAAACCACUCUUUCUUUUGUUUCCUUGAUGGUUAUUCUGGAUAUCACCAAAUCCCAAUCCACCUAGAUGACCAAGAAAAGACUACCUUUACAUGCCCGUAUGGAACUUAUGCAUAUCGACGAAUGUCGUUCGGAUUGUGCAAUCCUCCAGCUUCUUUCCAACGGUGCAUGAUGUCUAUUUUCUCGGACAUGAUUGAGAAGAUCAUGGAGGUUUUCAUGGACGAUUUUACCGUCUAUGGCAAAACCUUCAAUCAUUGUUUAGAGAAUUUAGAUAAAGUCUUGCAGCGAUGUGAAGAAAAGCACUUAACCCUGAACUAGGAGAAAUGCCAUUUUAUGGUUCAGGAAGGAAUAGUGCUAGGACAUAAAGUGUUCGAACGUGGUAUAGAGGUGGACAAAGCAAAGAUUGAAGUUAUUGAAAAACUUCCACCUCCCACGAUUGUGAAAGGAAUCCGUAGCUUUUUGGGACAUGCAGAGUUCUAUAGACGCUUUAUCAAGAACUUCUCUCAAAUUGCUAGACCCCUAACUAGUCCCCUAGCUAAGGAUGCACCUUUCAACUUUAGUGAUGAGUGUCAUGAAUCUUUUCAAACUCUUAAGAAAGCACUCAUCUCAGCCCCGAUUAUCCAACCACCUGAUUGGAAUCUUCCUUUUGAGAUCAUGUGUGAUGCUAGUGAUUUUGCAGUUGGUGCCGUCUUAGGACAAACCAAGGAUAAAAAGCAUUAUGCCAUAUCCUAUGCUAGCAAAACCUUGUCUGGACUACAACUGAAUUACACUACAACUGAAUUACACUACAACUGAAAAAGAGCUUUUGGCUGUUGUCUUUGCUAUAGACAAGUUUAGAUCUUACUUAGUGGGGAUAAUCAUCUAUUCAGACCAUGUUGCUCUCAAGUACCUCAUCACUAAGAAAGAUGCUAAGCCCCGUCUAAUUCGAUGGAUUCUUCUACUCCAAGACUUUGACAUAGAAAUCCGAGAUAGGAAGGGAGUUGAGAAUUCUAUAGCCGACCACUUGUCUAGGCUUCAAUAUAAGGAAACACAUGAUGAGCUUCCCAUAAAUGACUACCUAAGGGAUGACACCCUGCUUAAGAUAACACAUGCAGAUCCAUGGUACGCAGACAUCGUAAACUUUAUAGUAAAAGGCUAUGUCCCACCUGGUGCAAACAAAAGGAAGUUGCUUCACGAUAGUCGUUUCCACCUUUGGGAUGAGCCAUAUCUUUUCCGAGUCUGCGCUGAUGGACUCUUGACAAGGUGUGUUCCUAUGGCUGAGGCUACUCAAAUUAUGGAAAGAUGCCAUGCCUCGCCAUAUGGAGGACACUAUGGAGCCUUCCGGACUCAUGCUAAAAUUUGGCAAAGUGGUUUUUUCUGGCCAACAAUGUAUGAAGAUACAAAGGACUUUGUCAGGCGAUGCCACCGAUGUCAAAAACAUGGGAAUAUCAACUCACGAAAUGAAAUGCCUCUCACAAAUAAUCUUCAAGUAGAACUUUUCGAUGUAUGGGGCCUUGAUUUCAUGGGGCAAUUCCCUAUGUCUGGGAAUUGUGAAUAUAUCUUAGUAGUUGUGGACUACGUGUCCAAAUGGGUAGAAGCCCUACCUUGUCGAUCAGCUGAUUCAAAGCAUGCCAAGAGAAUGUUCCAUGAAGUAAUCUUUCCUCGCUUUGGUAUACCCCGGAUAGUUAUAAGCGAUGGAGGUUCCCACUUCAUCGACAAAAUCUUUCGGAAGUACCUAGCCGAUCAUGGAGUUCGACACAACGUCGCAACACCAUACCAUCCUCAGACUAGCGGUCAAGCCGAAACAUCUAACAAACAAAUAAAAAAUAUUUUACAAAAGACCGUAGAUGAGAUGGGUAAGGGGUGGAAGGACAAUCUUCCUGAUGCACUUUGGGCAUAUAGAACUGUCGAGGGUAUCGGUUAGGGGUACCCUCAGUAAGGCACAUUAUGAGAUUGCCCGUACGAAGGUCGAGACCCUUAAUUCGACGCUCUCAUCUUACGUACGUGCCGCCAUCGACAGUCGCAGCCUCGAAGACGGAAAUAGUCUCGAGCGAAUCGGUUCAGGACUCGAACGACGACUGCCCUCGAUGACGGAAGCGGGCUCGAGCGAACUGAGAGGUGCCAGGCGUGAGGACACUGUCCGCCGCCCGACGCGCGCACGCGAGCCGAAGCAUUAAAUGCACCUGACGCUUCCCCACCUAACACAUAGGCCACGGAAGGCGUGAUAGGGAGCAAGCUUCUGUCCCAUCGUUCCUUUUGCAGCCUUCCCACCGAACGACCCAGGGCGAGUCAGGACACAGGAAACAAGGAUGGAACGUCUAAUCGGGACCCCCUCGAGACACCCAAGGUCAGCGCUCCAGAUAUCGGCAUAUUACGCGGCGCCCGACCCUCGACCGAACAAGGUCCCUUCCCAGGGACAAGUCGGGCGUCGACUGACAACGCCACAGCUACUCCGCCGGAUCCGCCACCAUACCAUACGAGCGUGCGACCUCAGAACCAGCACAAGGCGGCUGGCAGGGCAGCACGAGGGAGCACGCGUAAUCAUCACCAAGCUAUCAAGAUGGGACGGCUCGAGGCCAUGCCGUACGGAAGCCUCGAGUAGGUCAGCGCUCCAUGCGGCUAUCGAUCCCUACUCUAACAUCUAUGCAUGUACCCUGUGUCUCUCCUUGGAGCUAUAAAAGGAGGGACUCAGGAAUAGAAGAGGGGGACAUCACAACGCAAAAACACACACACACACGUAGUAGAGCUACACAUUUCAUUCCACGCUUGUAUUCGCCCCUGUACAAGCACUUAGGUGCAAGAUAAUACAAACUCUCUCCCCCCGCUGGACGUAGGGCCUUCUCUUGCCCGAACCAGGAUAAAUCUCUGUGUCUUCUUGCAUCACCAUCCGGAAAGGGGAGCACGCAUACAAAUUUACUCGUUGGUGUGACCCCCCCCGGGGAAAAAACACCGACAGUUGGCGCGCCAGGUAGGGGUCCUGCGUGUUUUUCACCGAUUUCCCACCACUUUCCGGAUGGCUACUCCCGCCUCGCCGCUUCCGCACUCCACGGUGAUUUGGUUUGGGAGUCUCGAGUUCAUGUCUACGGGCUUCGGCUACGACAUGAUCUUGCUCUCGGUCAAAGGACCAGGAGGAGUCCGCGUUACGCCAGCACGGUUGAAGGCUCCAAGACGCCCUCACCACCACGCCUCCCCGCCUAAGAAGAGGCGCGGGCAGCACCACCGCGGCCCCCUUGCUUCGGCACGACCAACAACUCGUGCAAGGCAGGAUGCGGGCCCCGGGUCGGCAACACCGUCUGACCGAGCAACAAGCGCGACGACUCAGCACCACGCGACGACGGAGGGAGACGCGUCUCGCGCACCCUCCCCCACCGCAGCUAGGCAACCUCCACGCGGGUUGUUCUCUCCAAGGGCGGCACUGCCGUUCGGAUUGGACAACGCCGCGGCAUCGCUCGCCAAGACGAUAUGCCCAAACGCUCAGACAUACGUGGAAAGACCAAUGGUCAUCCCACGUAGUUCCGAAGAGCGGCGGCCGACGUCCGAACUGCCGGACCUUUCCCGAGUACGGGGCCUCCGCCGUCUAGGCCCCGGACGAUACUCGAUCACCUCCCUCAGGCAACGAUGGCUGGAGGAAGGACGUGAAUGUUUCCACGCUGCCGAGCCAGACUCCGACUCCGAGACAGACAGCUAUGACCCUACGAGGGAAUGCUAUCACCUCGACGGGGCGGCAGAAACCACCGACGAGACACGGGAUGCUGUUGCGGGUGGACGAGCCCUCGCGGCGCAAGAAGACCCCAGGACGCCUGGGAACGACGGACGGUUCGACCCUCUUCCCCAGGAAGAUAGAACUGCGCAGCUCGCGCAGCUGCGGGAGCUCAAGAUGAAGCUCGACGAAGAUCGCGAGCGCCUCGUCCUGCUCGAGCAAAUCCUCGAACAAGACCUGCCCUACCCGCCAGGCGGAAGUGUCCGCAGACGCGCUCGAGAGGUACAUCGACAGAUCGUCGGUGACCCGGAGGCGGAGCAACCUGUCGGCCGUUUCCCUCGAGCAGGCCAGAAUGUAGUGGCAGCGACGAUGCUGCUGCGUAACAUGCCAGAACCAUCGAAUUCCCAGGCCCGACGAAUUCGAGAUGAAGUUCAGACGUUGCUCCAGGUGGCAGCAGUUCAACAAGCCGAAAGUUCGGCAUCUCGACGACGAGGAGCUGCCACAGAGAAGCGCGACGAACAGCCUCUAAUCGAAGAGGAGGUGUCUGUCCAGCAACAACCUCCCCCUCGAGGCAGAAAGACCGCUCUCAUCCUCCCUGCCGACAAUCAACGUCGACACGACGCGCAACAUGACGUCAAAGAAAAUAGACGCCGACGGCACGGAGACGCGGAAGAACGUGGUUAUAGCGCGCAUCGCGGUGGGAGGUACGACAGCGACGAGGACCGGGUGGCCCCCGAGCCACCAGGCCCGCGGGUGUUCAGCAGAGCGAUUCGCAGCACGCCCCUGCCUAGUCCAUUCCGACCCCCAACCAGCAUCGCGAAGUACAAUGGAGAAACCAAGCCAGAGCUAUGGCUGGCCGAUUUCAGGCUGGCUUGUCAGCUAGGCGGCGCUCGGGGGGAUGAUCGAGCCAUCAUCAGGCAACUACCCCUUUUCCUCUCCGACACCGCCCGUCGAUGGCUCGAGGAACUCCCAGCCAAUCAGAUUCACAACUGGGUUGACCUGGUCAGAGUCUUCGAGGGUAACUUCAAAGGGACCUAUAUACGGCCAGGGAACUCGUGGGACCUCAGCAAAUGCAAGCAGAAGACAGGAGAGACUCUUCGGGAGUACGCUCGACGCUUCUCGAAGCAACGCACUGAGUUGCCACACAUCCCCGACCAUGACGUCAUCUUGGCGUUUGUCUCGGGCACCACCAGUCGAGACUUGGUGCGGGAAUUAGGCCGCAAUCGACCUCAGACCGUCGACGAGCUGAUGGACGUAGUAGCUAACUACGCGGCAGGGGAGGAGGCAGUCGGCGCUUUCUUCAGCUCAGAAGGAAGAAAAGGCAAGCAGCCCGUCGAUGAAGAAGGGACUUCCAGUCGAGGCCUCAAGAAAAAUAAAAAGAAGCAGAAAGUACGGCAGUUCCACCAGGGAGAUUCGGGUGACGACCUCGUCGCCACGAUGGAUCGAAAGAAGCCGCGAGGCCCUCCGGAGGGAGGCAUCUUCGACAAGAUGUUGGAGGAGCCGUGCCCUUACCAUAAGGGAGGCGCUAACCACAAACUCAAGGAUUGCCGCAUGCUGAGAAAGCAUUUCGACGGUCAGGGGCUCAAAAAAGAUGCGCGUGAUGACUCCAAGAAGGAGAAGGCUGGCGGCAAGGAGGACAACAAAGAUGACGACGGCUUCCCCGCCGUCCACGACUGCUACAUGAUCUAUGGCGGGCCUUCGACUCGGUUGACCACGAGGCAACGCAAGAGGGAGCGUCGCGAAGUCUUUGCAGCAAGGAUGGCGGUGCCCCAGUAUCUUAGCUGGUCAAGCACUCCCAUCACCUUCGACCGAGAAGAUCACCCCGACAAGGUGGUCGCCCCAGGCGUCUACCCGCUCGUCGUCGACCCCAUCAUCGUCAACACCCGACUCUCGAAAGUGCUGAUGGACGGCGGCAGCAGCCUCAACAUCAUCUACCUCGAGACCCUCGAUCUCCUCGGCAUCGAUAGAGAACGCCUCCAGCCAAGCGCCGGCGGCUUCCAUGGCGUCGUACCAGGGAAAAAAGCACUGCCAGUAGGUCGAAUCGACCUACCGGUCUGCUUCGGAACGGCGGCCAACUUCAGGAAGGAGACCCUCACCUUUGAGGUGGUUGGGUUCCGAGGCACGUACCACGCCAUCAUCGGACGCCCGGGCUACGCCAAGUUCAUGGCUAUACCCAACUACACAUACUUGAAGCUGAAGAUGCCUGGUCCCAAAGGCGUCAUCACCAUCAGUUCUUCCUUUGAGCACGCGUACGAGUGCGACGUCGAGUGCGUCGAGUACGGGGAGGCGGUCGAGAGCUCCACCGAGCUCGUUGCGAAGCUCGAAGCCAUGGCCGCUGAGGCUCCAGAACCUAAACGUCAUGCGGGCAGCUUCGAGGCGGUGGAAGGUACUAAGAAGAUCCCGCUCGACCCCAACAACUCCGACGGCAAGGUGCUGACAAUCAGCACCGACCUCGACCCCAAAUAGGAAGCCGUGCUCGUCGACUUUCUCCGUGCGAAUGCUGAUAUGUUUGCAUGGAGUCCCUCGGAUAUGCCGGGCAUACCGAGAGAAGUCGCCGAGCACUCCUUGGAGAUUCGAGCCGGUUCCAAGCCAGUGAAGCAGCGAUUGCGCCGAUUCGACGAGGAAAAGCGCAAGAUCAUUGGCGAGGAAGUCCAAAAGCUUUUGACGGCCGGAUUCAUCAAGGAGGUUCAUCAUCCUGACUGGUUAGCGAACCCUGUAUUAGUUAAGAAAAAGAAUGGGAAAAUGAGGAUGUGUGUCGAUUAUACUAGUUUGAAUAAAGCAUGUCCGAAAGUUCCUUUUCCGUUACCACGCAUUGAUCAAAUUGUCGAUUCUACCGCGGGAUGUGAAACCCUUUCUUUCCUUGAUGCUUAUUCUGGUUAUCACCAAAUAAAAAUGAAAGAGUCCGACCAGCUCGCGACCUCUUUCAUCACGCCUUUCGGGAUGUAUUGCUACGUGACCAUGCCAUUUGGGCUUCGAAACGCGGGAGCCACGUAUCAACGUUGCAUGCUCCACGUAUUUGGCGAACAUAUAGGUUCAACGGUCGAGGCCUACGUCGACGACAUUGUCGUCAAGUCAAAGCAACGAGGAGACCUGAUCCAGGACCUCGAGGUUGCUUUCAGCUGCUUACGCACCAGCCGGAUCAAGCUUAAUCCCGAGAAGUGCGUUUUUGGCGUGCCUCGAGGCAUGCUCUUAGGAUACAUUGUUUCACAGCGCGGUAUCGAGGCCAACCCAGAGAAAGUCUCGGCCAUCACGAAAAUGGGGCCAAUCCGAGACAUCAAGGGUGUCCAGAGAGUCACGGGGUGCCUGGCGGCUCUGAGCCGUUUCAUCUCGAGACUAGGAGAAAAGGCAUUACCAUUAUAUCGACUCCUGAAGAAGGUCGAGCGUUUUUCUUGGACCCCCGAGGCCGAGGAAGCACUUGAAAAGCUGAAAAAGACGCUGACUUCGGCACCAGUCCUGGUUCCACCUCAACCUGCGGAACCGCUGCUCCUCUACGUCGCGUCGACGACCCAGGUCGUCAGCGCGGCGGUGGUGGUCGAAAGACAAGAAGAGGGUCACGCGCUGCCAGUCCAAAGGCCGGUCUAUUUCGUCAGCGAGGUGCUUUCGGAGACCAAGGCGCGUUACCCCCAAAUCCAGAAGCUGAUCUACGCCGUAAUCCUUGCCCGCCGUAAAUUACAGCAUUAUUUCCUUGGUCAUCCUAUCACGGUGGUCUCUUCUUUCCCUUUGGGCGAAAUAAUCCAGAGCAAGGAGGCCAUGGGAAGGAUAGCGAAGUGGUCGGUCGAGCUCAUGAGCGAGACUCUCACUUAUGCGCCUCGAAAGGCCAUCAAAUCGCAAGCCCUGGUAGACUUCGUCGCAGAAUGGACGGACUCCCAGCUUCCCCCGACUCAGGUCCAGGCGGAGCUGUGGACAAUGUAUUUCGACGGGUCACUCAUGAAAACUGGGGCCGGGGCCGGCCUACUGUUCAUCUCACCCUUGGGCGUCCACAUGAGGUACAUGAUCAGGAUUCAUUUCGCCGCAUCUAACAACGUCGCAGAAUAUGAGGCCCUCGUCAACGGUCUCAAGAUCGCUAUUGAGUUAGGAGUCCGACGCCUCGACGUCCGAGGCGACUCCCAACUCGUCAUCGACCAGGUAAUGAAAGCCUCGAGUUGCCAUGACCCAAAAAUGGAAGCAUACUGCAAGGAGGUGCGUCGACUCGAAGACAAAUUCCACGGCCUCGAGCUCGUCCAUGUCGCUCGACGCUACAACGAGGCAGCCGACGAACUCGCCAAGAUUGCAUCUACCAGAGGCACGGUGCCGCCUGAUGUAUUCUCAAAGGAUCUACACGAGCCAUCCGUCGACCUAGGCACGGGGGCUGGCGCCGAUACCACCAUCGCCCAACCAACCAAUGCCGUCGAUGCGCUCUUGAUGGAGGAAGAGGUGAUGGAAAUAGAACGACGACCGGGUCGACCAUUCGAUUGGCGCACACCAUUCCUCGACUGCCUUAUCCGCGGUGAGUUGCCAGAAGACAGGACAGAAGCUCGUCGUAUCGCUCGACGGGCCAAAUCAUAUGUGAUCUAUGGUGAAGACAACGAGCUAUAUCGACGGAGCCCGACGGGAAUCUUACAGCGUUGCAUCACCAUAGAGGAAGGCCGAAAACUCCUCGACGACCUGCACUCGGGGGCUUGUGGCCACCACGCCGCCCCACGGACCCUUGUAGGAAACGCUUUUCGGCAAGGCUUUUACUGGCCAACGGCCGUGGCGGAUGCCGUCGAGCUCGUACGCUCGUGUCACGGAUGCCAAUUCUACGCCAAACAGACGCACCUGCCCGCCCAUGCUCUUCAGAUGAUCCCCAUCACCUGGCCGUUUGCGGUGUGGGGGCUCGACUUAGUAGGGCCUCUACAAAAGGCGAAAGGAGGAUAUACACAUUUGCUGGUGGCUAUUGACAAGUUCUCUAAAUGGAUCGAGGCUCGACCCAUCACUAACAUCCGCUCCGAGCAGGCCGUCCUCUUCUUCUCCGACAUCAUCCAUCGAUUUGGGAUCCCCAAUGUCAUCAUCACUGACAACGGCACCCAGUUUACUGGCAGAAAGUUCUUGGAUUUCUGUGAUCGGCAUCACAUCCGUGUGAAUUGGUCCGCAGUAGCCCACCCUCGAACUAACGGCCAGGUCGAGCGUGCCAACGGCAUGAUUUUGCAAGGACUCAAGCCAAGGAUCUACAAUCGAUUGAAGAAAUUCGGCAAGAGAUGGGUCGAGGAGCUUUCCUCGGUCCUAUGGAGCCUAAGGACAACGCCGAGCAGGGCCACCAAAUACACCCCGUUCUUUAUGGUCUACGGCUCUGAGGCUAUCCUUCCCACAGACCUCGAGUAUGGGUCACCUCGACUCAAGGCUUACAAUGAGCAAUCGAACAAAGAAGCUCAAGAAAACGCGGUCGACCAACUCGAGGAAGCUCGAGACAUGGCCCUCCUCAAUUCUGCUAGAUAUCAGCAGAGACUCCGACGCUACCACGACAAGCACGUGCGCAAGAGGGACCUCAACGUAGGCGACCUUGUCCUACGACGCCGGCAAAGCAACCAAGGACGCCACAAGCUAACCCCACCUUGGGAAGGCCCGUAUGUGGUGGCCGAGGUCCUUAAGCCAGGAACGUACAAAUUGGCGGACGAAAAGGGGGCAGUCUUCACCAACGCAUGGAACAUCGAACAGCUACGUCGAUUCUACCCCUAGAAGUCCUAGAUUUACGAUCCUACUUUUUGUACGAAGACUUUGUAAAUGAACGCAUGAAUAAAUAAAGUCUUUCCCUCGAGCAGUUUCUUUCUGUACCAAAAAUAGUUACGAAUUAUAGUCUCGACGUUAAAGGGGGAUGCCGACCAUGACCCAUCAUAGUCCGCACCCCCUCGGGGGCUACCAGAGGGACGACCCCUCCCCAAGCGUCGAAAAAGCCAAAAAGUUUCUCUAUUUCCUACUUAGUAAACCUUGAACGAUCGAGUAGUCGAGGCGCCUCGAGCCCCUCGACGACCGGAGGAUAGCGAGCCUGAGAACACCUACCGUACUCCCGCGGCCGACAACCCUACCGGGAUGUACUCCCGCGGCCGGUCCGUCUUCCCCGUCUUCUGCACCAGAUUGAGGCAACCCGCUCGCACGGGUUUCCUCACGCCCGUGGUUCCGGUGGAGGCGUGAAACAGCUCGCCCCUGUAGAGGUGGAGCCACAGCUCCCAGUGCGGCAUCAUCCCUAGGAAGCCCUCACACACGGCGGCGAAGACCGCCGCCACGGUGAUGGCGUUCGGGGAGAAGUGCUGCAGCUCCACCCCAUAAUGGAAGCAGAGGGCCCGCAUGAAGCGGCUUGGAGGCGCGCCCAGACCGUGGCGGUGGAACUUGGCGAACGACACCACGUAGCCCUCGGGUGGCUGAGGCGCCCUGUGGCUCGCUGGCGGCGCGAUCCACUCUGGCGACGACAGCGAGGUGCGGCGGCGCAGCAGUCCCUCCUUCUCGAGCUCUAACAGCCGGCGCUCCGUCAUCGACGACGGGCGCCAGUCAUCGGCGGCGACGAGUCUUACAGGCAUCUUGGCUAACGGGACGGUGGGUUCGCUACGACUCGAGGGGGCGUGUGCGCGUGAGAUGACGAGAAAGCAAAGGCAGCAGAGGAACGAGGGCGAGAAGGCGGAAGGGAGAGGAACGGCGGUGACGCGACAACAUAUUUAUAGGCAGCUGCCCGCCAACGGACAGAUCCGAGAAGUAAGGUAACUCCCCCCAUAAAUGCGCCGCCUGACAGCUCUCUCUCUCUCUCCUCACAGGCCGGACUCUCCGAAUUCCUCGCCGAUACGGUGUCGUAACGUCAUCCGCCUAAAAAGACGCGCCCAACGGGCAGAAAUGCGAACCGCCACGACCGUUUCCUUCCCUCGUAAGCCAAGGGACAUAACCGCAAAAGUCUCGGGAGGUCGAUGGCUGGCCCGCCGAAAGGGUUCGACAGCCGAUCUCGAGCGCCAGAGUCAGGGAUCCCCAGCGAGUGGUCGAAAAUCGAGGCCCGCCUCGAGGACUUGCUGGCGAUGUUCAAGGUAGGGUCGAGACAGUCGAGAGGAAUCCCCCCGAAGGGAGGCAUCGAGCCGCUGGACUCUAUCGAAUGAGACCGGUAUCCCCGACCACGUCGACCCUGCUUUAUGAGGACGCCUCCGGGCUACAGCUGACCCCCUCGAAAGGGGCACAGGUUCUCACUUGGACUACCCGCUAGGAACUCAAUUUGGGAUGAAAGACGCUCGCUCUAUCGAGAGUACGUCGAAACCCACGGGCAAAAACGAGCCAGUCAGAAUCUUCCACCACUGGUGUCGAAAGCGUUUUUGCGAAUUAGACAACAUAACCCUCGAAGGAGUCAAAAAACUCCUCCGAGGGCUCGGGGGCUACCCCGCGGGGUCGCUCGCGCGCCCCCACGAAAAUUCGAUCGUAAAUCAAAACCUCCAAUCGAGCGCUAGCGCUCGAGUGAAGGCUCGGGGGCUACUGUCGAGGGUAUCGGUUAGGGGUACCCUCAGUAAGGCACAUUAUGAGAUUGCCCGUACGAAGGUCGAGACCCUUAAUUCGACGCUCUCAUCUUACGUACGUGCCGCCAUCGACAGUCGCAGCCUCGAAGACGGAAAUAGUCUCAAGCGAAUCGGUUCAGGACUCGAACGACGACUGCCCUCGAUGACGGAAGCGGGCUCGAGCGAACUGAGAGGUCCCAGGCGUGAGGACACUGUCCGCCGCCCGACGCGCGCACGCGAGCCGAAGCAUUAAAUGCACCUGACGCUUCCCCACCUAACACACAGGCCACGGAAGGCGUGAUAGGGAGCAAGCUUCUGUCCCAUCGUUCCUUUUGCAGCCUUCCCACCGAACGACCCAGGGCGAGUCAGGACACAGGAAACAAGGAUGGAACGUCUAAUCGGGACCCCCUCGAGACACCCAAGGUCAGCGCUCCAGAUAUCGGCAUAUUACGCGGCGCCCGACCCUCGACCGAACAAGGUCCCUUCCCAGGGACAAGUCGGGCGUCGACUGACAACGCCACAGCUACUCCGCCGGAUCCGCCACCAUACCAUACGAGCGUGCGACCUCAGAACCAGCACAAGGCGGCUGGCAGGGCAGCACGAGGGAGCACGCGUAAUCAUCACCAAGCUAUCAAGAUGGGACGGCUCGAGGCCAUGCCGUACGGAAGCCUCGAGUAGGUCAGCGCUCCAUGCGGCUAUCGAUCCCUACUCUAACAUCUAUGCAUGUACCCUGUGUCUCUCCUUGGAGCUAUAAAAGGAGGGACUCAGGAAUAGAAGAGGGGGACAUCACAACGCAAAAACACACACACACACGUAGUAGAGCGAUACAUUUCAUUCCACGCUUGUAUUCGCCCCUGUACAAGCACUUAGGUGCAAGAUAAUACAAACUCUCUCCCCCCGCUGGACGUAGGGCCUUCUCUUGCCCGAACCAGGAUAAAUCUCUGUGUCUUCUUGCAUCACCAUCCGGAAAGGGGAGCACGCAUACAAAUUUACUCGUUGGUGUGACCCCCCCCCCGGGAAAAAAACACCGACAAGAACUGCAUUCAGAACACCCAUAGGCAUGUCACCUUAUCAACUUGUAUAUGGAAAAACUUGUCACUUGCCUGUGGAAGUAGAGUUUAAGGCUCAUUGGGCACUCAAGAAAUGGAACAUGGAUCUCCACCUUGCUAGCGAGAAUCGUCUGAUGCAACUAUUUGAGCUAGAAGAAUGGAGAGAGAAAGCCUACCACAAUUCAAGGAUCUAUAAAGAGAGAACAAAACGAUGGCAUGAUAAGAGAAUCAAGCACAAGGAGUUUAAGCCUGGAGAUAAGGUUCUACUAUUCAAUUCAAGAGUUAAGCUCUUUGGGCAUGGUAAGCUACGAAGUAAGUGGGAUGGACCAUACAAGGUUAUUGACACUUCCACUCAUGGAGCCAUUACUAUCCAAGACAACAUAGGUAACACUUUGAAGGUAAAUGGUCAACGCUUGAAAAUCUAUCUUGAGCCACAAAACAACCUGGUAGAGGAACUUGAUGUGAUUGAGUUCAUUGAAUUCUCAUAUUAAGCUCUAGACAAUUACCUAAACCUUAACAUGUUCCACGAGUUUUGUUGUCUAUUAGGGUUGUGCAGGAUUUUGAGGCUUAAGAAGAGUGAGACCGAACAUGCAGGCCACAAGUAAACGAUUAUGUCAACAUCUAGCUUGGGGGAGGCACCCCCACGUGUAUAUAGAUAAGUAUUGCUUCUCUUUCCUGGUUUUAUUUACUUGUAUUCGGAAAUAAAUAAAUAAAUAACUGCAUAAUCACGAAACCAAACAAAGUUUUUCUUUUGAGUAAUAUACAAUAGUUUUGUGUAAUCCUCAGUUUUAAAUAAAAUAAAAAUAAAGUUUGAUCCAAGUCUAGGUAAUUCACAAACAUGAUAUGAGAAGGUUUGAGCUACUAUUUAACUUGUUCCAAGUUUUGCUAGAGUUCUGGAGAUUUUAUCUUUUGAAAAUCUAAAAAUUCAAAAAAAAAUGAUGAGAUCCUGUUUGACAUACUUAAGAUAUGAAUAUUAAAACUGUGGGCACUUGCUUUUUUCAAGGCAUUGUUAAUUCUUGUAGUUUUGGUUGAGAGAAUUAUCAUGCUCCCAAGAUCAAGAUCUUUUUGUUUUAAAAAUAUAAAAGGUUCACUCUUCCGAAGUAUUAUUGCGUUAGAGGCAUGGGACUAUGCAAAAAUUUGAUUCGAAAAAAAGAAGUGAGACGAGAGGUAAAAAUGGACAAGUGUUCGAAGUAGAAUUAGGGGUACAAAGAUACCCACCUGAGUGGAAAAAUGGACAUGUGUCCGACAGUACAAUUAGGGGUACUUGCUGCCCACUUGAAAAAAAAGAGAGAGAAAAAGAAAAAAAAAUGAUAGCACAUGGUCCCUCUAAUAAGCAAUAUGCCAGUAAGAGAUGACAAACUUUUCAAAAAGGUCAAAGGUCUUAAUCUAGGAGUAUGACAUCCCUCUCCCUUGCUUGGAGCAUUGACAUAGGAAAAUGCAAAGUAAGUAUGCUAAAACUUUUAAAGCUCUACUUAUAUAUCUUUCAAGAAGAAGGCAAAUGCCUCAGUUUUAUUUUGGUAACUUACAUAAAAACUCCAGAACAGAGGUAAGACAGAAGAACUUGAGACAUAGUGCUUGACUUGAUCGUUCUGUUUUUCAACCACUUAAGACCUUAGUGAUAACUUUAAAAAGCCCUGUAGUAAGGAGCAUAAAAGUAACCCAUGUUUUCUUACUGAUUUUAGCUUUGCUCAGGGACGAGCAAAGGUUAAGCUUGGGGGAGCUUGUUGACGGUCCUUAAUGCUCACAUUUAACCGUCAACUAAUCAUGGAAAAGGAUCCAAAUGCAACCAACACCUAGACUUAGGGUUUUAUCUGACAGAAUUCCACGAGUUUUGGUGUUUGUCUAUUUCUGUAGGGGGUUAUCAGGAAAUAUGGAAGAAAGGCCCACAUGUGAGGAUUACAUAGAUAUAUUAACGCAACGCGUAAUUUUCCACCAUCUAGAAGACUCCAGAAGCCACGGGAACGAACGGGAAGGCAAUCAGGCUUGGAGGCAGGGCACUCGCCCUACUCUCCUAGGCGCCCGCCCUGGAGUUGUAACCAAACACGUCCAAUCUCACGGAUUACGUUCCACCGACCUAAAGGAUCAAGGAAAACUGUGCGAUUAAUGUCUGUUUGAUCCGACGGCCCAGAUUCAUCUGAAAAGACUAUUUAAGCAAGGCCCCCUGGCCCUGGAGAGCAUACCUCUUCUAUAGAAUCAAAGCUAGGGUUUCAAUUCUUCAUCCAAGUAGAGAGGGUCCCUCUAGUUCUUCUAGUUCUACCUCUAUUUCAUCUAGUUCUAGUUCUAGUUCAUCUAGUUCUAGUUCUAGUUCCUCUAGUUCUAGUUCUAGUUAGUUCUAGUUGUAAUCCAGAAAAUAGGGAGAGAGAAGAGGAGAGCAGAGGAGGAGGAGCCAGAUCUGUUGGAUCUUCCUCAACAUUGUACUUUUGCAGCAACUGGUUCGUUCUUCAUCAUUCUCCAGGUUUUUCAAUUCAUAAUUCCUGAGUUCUUUAAUUACUUUUAUUUACAUUCAAGUUAUUUAUUGGAUUCCCGCUUGCAUCAAGUGCUCUAAUCUUUGCAACAUUAGAGUAGUAAUUAAUAGAUUAGACGUGGUGUUUAGUCUUGCAAUUACCUGGAAUUGCACCCAAUCCUGCGGAUUGUUGUGGUAGCCUUAGGGUAGUGACAGCCCUAACGGUUGACGUAUUCCACCUCAUUCGGAUCGGUGUUUGUAGGACCGUAGUCAGACCUUCGUAGCCCCCUUCUCAUCUCUUUUUGUUGUUAGUGCUCUGAUGUCCCGAUAUAAAUAAUCUUUGAAGUAAUUCUUGAUUCUUAGAUCAACUAGAGAACUCUCAGGAAACUUCCUCUCUUCCCACCAAAAAUAAUUAUAUAGUUAUCCUUGGGCGAUCUUGAUUCUUAAUUAGUACACUCACGUUCCCUGUGGAAAAUCGAUACUCUGGAAUACUCCCGGGUGAAAGCUACAUCGGUAUCCGUGAGCUUGCGGAUUUUUCUGUUUGCGCUUAAAAUACCGAACAGGAUCCAGAGCCAACUGAGCUAUCUGAUCGGGAAAAUCCGCCUCCUCAUCAUCACUGAAAGGCGCAAGGAAUUCCAUCGGCAACAUGAACACCAUAUUAACGUCUGUCGAUGGACCUUUUCCUUUAGAAUCUGACUACUACCGAUCUUCAGUCUUAGCAGAAUUCUCUUCUCUACUCAGCUCUUCUCGUCGUUGUCGCUGCAGCCUUCUUUUCGGUGUCCUAGUUAAUCCCUUUGGACACCAUGGAGGAAGUUGUGGCUGUCUAACCGACUAACGACGAUUUUCCCUUGAUUCCACCCGAAAAAUAUUAGCAUCUCUGCAAAAUAUGAACUCAUCAGAACUCGUGCAUCUGCCAUCUCUUCAAGUUCCUCUUGGUUUCUAGGAAAAUAACCAACACGAUCACCAAGCCUAUCAUGCACCCUGAGUCUGCCCCCCAACCGAUCAUGAACUGAGGCACUUCCCCUAAUCGGCCCAUCGAAACGCCGAUCAUUGUUCUGAUACUGCCGAUUUGGUCUAUCGUACCGAUUAUAGCCAUUGCAUUCAGGGCAGUCUCUAACAGUUGGUAACUUGAUGUUUUGCUCCCAACAGUGGAUGAAGAACGGGUAGUUCCAGUGAUCUUUAUGCUGAUUCCACUCCUGUCGGCGUCUUUCUUCUUCCCAACGACGAUCCUCCUAUUGGCGCCGAUACCGAUCUUCACAUUGCUGCCAGGUCUCCUGAUGCCUUCUAUGAGUAAUCACAAUGCCAGAUCAGGGAGGCCUUCCUAAACUGGUUCUUCCUGGAUCAAGCCCUUACCUUUAGCAUCAUCGGUAGUAAUCUGGUGCUAAGGAUCAACCGAUGCGCUUCUUUCAGCUGCCUCUGAAGUCAAUACAUUGGUCUUUCCCUUAGCAUCCAACAUGUUUGUACGGAAAGGAUGUUGGUUGAUCUUCAUCGGCUUUUGAGUUUUGGAGCUAUCGAAUUUAAUUCUCCCAGACUCUAUAGCCAAUUGCAGUUGUUGCCUGAAAACCUUGCACUCAUUUGUACUGUGAGAUGUUGCAUUAUGCCACUUGCAAUAUUUAAUCUUCUUUAAUUCCUCUGCCGAUGGAAUCACAUGAUUGGGCGACAACUUAAUUUUCCCUUCUUGAAGUAGAAAGUCAAAUAUCCUAUCGGCUUUGGUGAUAUCAAAUGCAAACUUCUCUUGUUCUUUGUGCCCAAAAGGGCAAGACAUCGGCUUCUUGUUUUCACCCGUUCUGCCAAGCCGAUGACUGGUUCUUCAUCAGAAUCUGAACUUGUUGCCUCAUCGACAAAUGACACCUUUUUGUUCCAUGCCAUCUUAGGUUCAAAAGCUUUGAUAUCUUGGUCCGAAAUCCUUUGCACUAAAUGGCUCAUACUUUCAAACUCUUGAGAAGCAUACUUGUCUCUGAUAUGUGGCAACAAUCCCUAGAAAGCCAAAUUGGCUAGCUGCCGAUCAUCUAGAACCAGACUAUAGCAUUUAUUCCUAACCUCUCGCAACCUUUGCACGAAGCUUUCAACCGAUUCAUCAUUGCGUUGCUUUAGCCAGAUUAAAUUCGUAAUCUUCUUCUCAUGAACUCUAGAAAAGAAGUAUUUGUGAAACUGUUUUUCUAGAUCGGCCCAUGUGAUCACUGAGUUUGGAGGUAAUGAAAUAAACCAAGUAAAGGCCGAUCCAGACAAAGAUGACAAGAAUAAGCGAACCCUUAACUCAUCUCUGUUAGCAGCUUCCCCAUAUUGGAUGAUAAACCUGUUACCAUGCUCCAUGGUUGAUGUAUCAUCCUGCCUAGAAAACAUGGUGAAAUCCGGCACAUUGUACCGAUUUGGAAGCGGAAUUAAGUCAUAUGCGGGAGGAUACGGUGUCCGAUAAGAGUAAGUGUUGACUUUGCGUUUUAUCCCGAAUUGGUCCCUCAUCACCUCAGCUAUCUUAUCAGCCCAAUAAGCAUCAGCAUCUUGCCGUUGAGCUAGUUGUGGAUCUUGCAUCUGCUGGUAAGCUUCCACAUGUCUAUACGGUGCACGAUCUCUAGGGAACAUAGGAUUUGCCACUGCCUGUUGGCCGCCAACUUGCUGGCUAAGAUUCAUCGGCUGGUUGAUCAACCCCUGAUUCUAAAAUCCAGGUUGCAUUAGUCCCUGUGGAAAUCCCAUAGCCUGAUGAUUCUGCUGAGGCAUUUGUGGAAAAACAAACUGUCUUGUCCAUCCAUUGUUAACAUUCAUCGGCGUAGGCCCUGCCGAUGGCUGAUAAUUGGGCAUCAUCAUUGUGUUGACAUACUCUGGCUGUGUCAUGAACCUCUGUUGCGUCGGCAUUAGAUCUGCCGAUUCGUUAGGCAUCUGGAACGUUGGCAUUUGAGACUUCCCAGUAAAAGGUCUUGCAGUUGUAGUUGUAGAAUACCGGGGAUUCUGAUUCAUCGGCGAGCUUGGGGGUGCCGAUGCCAUAGGAGCCUUGCCUGUCAUGUUAGCCGCUUGAGACGUCCCAGAGCUAUUUGCCAUAAACUCUGGGGGCAUACCAUAUCCCCACCAAUUAGGAGGAACAGACCCUGACAUUGCCGAUGCCAAUAAAUCUGUAUCAAGUUUGACUUGUCCCUCUGAUGUUGAUGGAUUGGUCGUCAUCGGUGUAGAUUGCGCAUUAGAUAUCCCUAAUGUGCUUGGAGGAGAAGUAACUUCUGUACCCGCAAUGGCCGUAGUAGCCGAUGGAGCCAUAACCAAUGACGCUCCUGGCUGAUGAUAGGCUGGGCCCACAUAAGAUGGUGGUACUUGUCCUUCUUUGAAAGUUCUAGCCACAGCAUUGAAAACUGUAUUGGACAGCACACUAGAUUGAUUGAUUAGAGCACGAUUAAUAGCAUUGUGAACCAUCUCUUGAAGUUUACCAGGAUUGGCUUGAAAAGUGAUUUGCCGAGGCAUCGGCAAUGCUUCCUUUUGGAUCACCUCGCCACUUCUGUUGAUGCUGAAGAAUUUUAAGCAUAGCUGCUUGUAGUCCUCCAUAGGUUUUGCCAUAGCUUGCUUCUGUUCAUCCCUGAGAUUGGCUUCCGUCACGGGGAUGACGUUCUCCAAGUCGAAAUCGGUGUUCGACAUGUUGAUCUUGAUGUUGAAUCUCUGUCCCACUAGGCGUGCCAAAAGAUGUGUUGAUGCAAAAGUGGAUCUGCAAACACAAAGGGCUAAUACCUGAUUCAACGUUUAGGCGUGCUAGCCGAUUUGACCUUACAAUUGACAAAGGUGGUAACUCGAAUAUUUUGGUCCCGACAACAGCGAUGCGCCCGGAUGUCACGGCCAAGAGGUAUUCACGUGGAACUCGAGAACUCACCGAGGUUGACUCGAAGAAUUCCAAAGAAUUCGUAGUAAAAGGAAAAUAUGCAAAUUGAUGAAGAUGUCGAAAAAAUAGAUGCUGGAAUAGAUGUACAAACUUGUGUUUGAUUGAUUGUGUCUUACAUUGCUACAGGGUCUCAUAUUUAUACCCUGCCCAAAAGGGUUACAAUCAGACACGACUAGGACUCGAAUUCCAAAUUAAACAGAAUUCGUAUACAAAACAAACUCUAAUAACUAUGGAAAGCAUAAAUUAUCUUCCACAACCGAUCGGUACACCACCAUGAAUCGAUUGACAACCCCUGCGCUCUCCUUCAUGACCAUCGGCAAAUCAUCUCCCAUAGCCAUCGGCAGCCAUUAGCACCAGUCAUCGGCACGAAUCCAUCACUACUCCUGGACUUGGCCAUACCUUGUCUUUUUUUCAUCGGCAACUCUUCUACAGACUAGUCACCACAUCUCUGCCUGCUGAUCUACACCUCAUUAACUCUAGAUACACGUCCAAAGAUACGUGUCCAAAAACUGUGUCAACAGGAGGUCCUUGGUGGUUUAUCAACAUGUGGCUCAACAUUCAUAUGCACAAGCGCCCUCAGUGGGAUUUCUUUGCACAACGGUUCCCACGAGAUAUUGCUGAGGACCAUGAACUAGCAGAGGAUGAAUCAGCAACACGCUCGCCCCUCAAUUACGGCGAAGCCAUCAUAGUUCUCCCCGGUACCAAUGCAAAUGUGAACCAGACCGGCCAAUUCUUUCAAACAUUGUAUGACGGCCUCUCCAAAGAUUAAGGAGCCUGGAUGCCUUAUGAAGAUCCAGAGUCCAGAUUUCCACUCACUUUCCACCCUGCCAAUGAUGCACUUAACAAGGAUAAUGAUAUGAUGAUGGCAAUCAUUACCCCAAGAGCAAUCCCAGUGAACAACUUUGACAGCGGAAAGAACACCAACACUACUUACGAGUUCUACAACCCAUCGGCACUAGCUCGCCAACUGGCUUUUGGUCAACUACCCAUUAAACUUUGCUAUGCCGAUGUAAUUAAGCCGAGGGAAGUGAUAACCAGUGGACUCGAGUGGAUCAGAAUAGCUCAGCUCCAGCCAGAUGCCGAUACAACAGAUAUUGAUCUAUCGGCUUGGGUUCCAGCCCUUUUCAUCACUCAGUCAUACAAAUAGUGGUCGGAAGAAUGGAAAGAGCACUUGUUCAAGGUAUCGGCUCAUAUGUACCGUAACAUGAUCGACCCCUAGCACGAAGUUCCCGAUGAUGUUGUAAGUCUCUUUUCCGAUACUCGGUCUUUUCUGUUAACUUCAAUUCUAUCGGUAAAUAACCCCUUUUACUUCAACAGGUUGAUAACCCAGCGCCAACAGUAAGCAGAAGUGGGAGGCUGAUCGACCUUCUCCCAUCAGGCCCAAUAUCUCUGAUUGGCCACAACGUGCCAAGCCUAGCAGUCCUGAUGCACCGAAACAUCCGCUUCAAGAAGACGACCACCAAAUGGUCGAAAGUUUCUCCAUCGGUAGCUGCUGCCACUCUGGCACAAGCUUUUAAGGUAAAUUCUUAAUUUUCCCUAUCAUACCGAUUUAAUCCCAUACUUACACUAUCCUUACAGGGUGCAUCGGCUGCAACUGGAAUGUCAUUGGUAAUUUUGUUUUGUACCGAGUAUUCUACUCUUUCAAAUUCCAACAAUGUUUGUCUGCUUUUAUGUCUAACCUGUAGAACCUUGAUCUUUUGUAACAGCAGACCAGUGCAUCGGCAAGAACCAAGAGCACUCAAUCAUCGGGUGCCGAUGCCCCCCAGCCCAGUCAGGCUCCACCUAAGAGAAAGGGUCCAAGCAGUACCAAGACCCAGCCAAAGCGACAGAAGACAACACCAUUGUUGACACUUGCUAACACCACUUGAAUACUAGGUUGUCAUCCCCAGCAUGGCACUAGAGUGUACUAUGGUAUUUAUACACACACAGAUGAAUCCGCAAGCGCACAGAUACCGUUGUAGCUUUUACCCGGUUAAAUGUUUUAUCGUAUCCACAGGGAAACAGGAGAACUGAUCUACGCUCUAACUUAACCUAGAUAGAUAGGUGUAAAUAGGAAAGAUGGUAGAAUUGAAUAAGAACAAUAUUAAAGGUAAGAUAACAAUGGGUGAUAAUAUGGGAAUAGAGAGUAGAGCAAUCUAGUAUAUGGGCGAUGGUAGGAGAAUAAAGAGGAUAACUAUGGUUUCUCUACUUCAAAGGGGUAUGUCUAUGUCUGGGAUGAACCACGUGAUAAGAAUACAUCACAAAGGAUGCUUAUCCAUAGGCCGAUAAACCCUACCCAUCCUGUUAACAGGAGGUGGACUACAUGGGACCAACGUAACUGUCACCUACGCGGCCUACCACACGAUCCGGCUAGACACGGGAUAUCCACAAGUAAUCUAGGUCUAAGCACCACGCUCUACCUAUACUACAACUCUCACCUAUAGCGUCCUAUAGAUUAAAGUACUCAAAAGAGUUGUGAACCAGAACAUACAUGGAUAGUAAUUGCAUAAUGAAAUAAGAAGUAGAUAACAAGAGUCAUCCCAUGAGCAAGCUUGAUUAGAGCUUGAUCAUGGCGAAGUACAACUAGAGGAAGAACCGAGAGGCUGGCCUCUCCUCUAAUCCUCCCUCGCUCUCCAUCUCGCUACUAUCUAGAUCUACUCUAGUUUAGAGAUGAGAGGAGAGCUCUCAUCUCCAAACCCUAGCUUUUGCUCUGUCUAUGUAGAGGAAAGGUUAUCCUUCGAGGGCACCUCUCAACUCUAUAAUGAACUUGUUCUCCUCCAGGGGCAGGGGGUCUGCUUAUAUAGUCCCCUCAGGUGAACGUGGGCCGUCGGAUCAAACUGACAAUGAUUGAACGGUUAUCCUUGAUCCUUUAGGUCGGUGGAGCAUAAUCCGCGAGAUUGAACGUGAUUGGGCACAACACCUGGGCGGGCGCCCAAGGGAGGAGGGCGGGCGCCCUGCCCCCGAGCCCGCUCGACUUCCCAUUCGUUCCCGUCGCUUCUGGAGUCUUCUAGAUGAUAGAAAAUUGUGCGGCACGUUAAUAUCUCUAUGUAAACCCGACAUGUGGGCCUUUCUUCCAUAUUUCCUGAUAACCCCCUGCAGAAAUAGACAAACACCAAAACUCGUGGAAUUCUAUCAGAUAAAACCCUAAAUCUGGGUGUUGGUUGUAUUUGGAUCCUUUUCUUUAUUUAUUUGAUGUUUAUAUUUGGUACUUAAGGACCGUCAACAACUCCCCCAAGCUUACCUCUUGCUCGUCCGUGAGCAAGGAUGGACUCAAGAGUUUCUACAGUGGUUUCAUGCCUUAAAGGUACACAUGCGUUCAAACAAGAUCUCAUCUCUGGGUUAGGAUAAACUAUUAAGAUUUAAACUUACUCAUAUUACCUUCCACCAUGGGGCUUGUAACCGUCACUUGUGUCUUGAGGAGUUAAAAGAUAGAACGGUCAAGUCAAGCGCCAUGUCUCUUGUUCUUUGAUCAACUAUAGCUCUGGAGUUUUUGCAGAUUUUCAAAAUAAAACUCAGAGAUUCAUUGUAUGACUCUCUCAAUUCUCUCUUUUGUGGUAUUUCUGGAUCCUUACCAAGGCAGUGAUGGUAUAUGCCUUCUCUCAAAGUAUGUGGUAUUUGUGGUAUGAGGCAUAGUGACAUUGUCUUCUCUCUCAUCCUUCUCUAAUAAGGUUUUGAUAUCUGGAGCUCAUAGGUGGGAGAUAAAGUAUACAUACUUACAAGACAUUUAUUGCAUAGUCAAACCAUGGAUCCAGAGAAACAAGUCAAUAAGUCAAAUCAAGAUGUGCAUGUGUGGCGAAUGAAUGGUGUAUGGUGAUGAUGGUGAUAAUGGUGAAAGCAAUGGUGAAAGUCUAAUUCUACUUUUGCUCUUUUGAGGGGAUACAUACCUUUCUUGCACUUUGAAGCUUUUUGAGGGGAAUGAGAUGCUCUAUAUUUUCUUUUUCUUUUCUCUCAAGUGGGUAUCUUGUACCCCUAAUUCUACUGUCGGACACUUGUCCAUUUUUACCUCUCGUCUCACUUUUUCUUUUCUUCGAGGUUUCGGGCACUUGCCCCUCUUUUAUUUCCUUGUUUUCAAUUUUUUCAGAGCACUCACCCUCCUGGAAUAAUGUAGCAAGUGGUAGUAACCAAAAUAUCUUGAGCAUUUAUUUAAUGGGGAAUAACAGGGAUAGGAUAAUGUUUUUUUGGCUAUUCUCUCCUAGAUAGGAGUAGAAUAAUUUUGGGUGAAUCUGGAGAUGGAAAUGAAUGGAUGUAUGUAGAUGCGUACUUCUGGAGUAGAAGCAGCAUGUAUGAGUGAACGUGCAAGUGAAUCUUGAUUUUAACCGCAUGACAAGCUCCUAAGGGUCUACACAGCUUGACCACACUCAAUGCUCAAAAGCAGUAAAAAGUAAAUGUAUGGUUCAUAGUCUAAUAAGCAUGUAUAUGUGGCUGUGGUAGGAAUUUAAACUCUCAUCAUACAGGAACUCAUCAUGCAACAUUUUUAAGAUUUUCAAAGAUAAAAUUCUCCAGAAUUCUAGCAUCUCUAGGAACAGAUAAAUAGCAGCUCAACAUUCCCAUAUCAUAUCCGUUAACGACUUAGACUUUAGAUCAAGUACUCUUCCCACAAGUUCAGAUUUAGAGCAAAUCUUAAUUCAUAACAGUCAUGCCUAAACUUGAGAGAGAGCUCAAAUUUGAAAACUAGGUAAUUGGUAGAGCAACUAUUCAUCAUUUCUAUGUGAGAGCUUAUCAUGAGGGUUCAUAGCAAACUUCAUUUAUUUAUUUAUUUAGCAAACUAAGCAAAGAUAUAUAUAUAAGUACAAAAUCUUUAUUUGAGUUUUUAAUAUUAUGCAUCUUUUUAUUAUUUGAGUAAAGUAUAAACGCGAGUAGAAACACUUAGCUGGAUAAAUGGGGAUGCUCUCCCCCAAGCUGGAUUUUGACGUAAUUUCUUUCGAUGUAGCUAGCAGGUGACGGAGGUGCAUUUGAAUGUCAGCAGCACCCUGACAGUGAUUAGGAUGUCCUCCGUCUGUUAGUCUUCUUUGAUCCUUGAAUUUUGUGGAGCUCAAAUAGACAACAAAGCUUUGUGGAACUAGUUAAGUGUUAGCAUAAAAUCUCUUAGCCAAUAUCAUGUUGAGCUUCCUCUAAUAAAUAUUACUCUCUUUGGUAGGAUCAUAAAUUUAUUUUUAUAUUUUCAUUUCUAUAAGACAGGAAUAUAUUUAUUUUAUUUUUACGCCACCACAGUGAAUGUACUUAUGGGUUUUAUGCCACAAGCAUACUCACAUGGGGCUUACUAUUUUUAACAUUUUUAUUUUCUUUUCAAGAUAGCAUGAUUAACUAACAAGCCAUUUAAGGAAAGUAAAUAAUUUAAGGGAAAAGGGAAUGCAGAAAGGAUAAAUAUGGAUAACUACCGAUUUUUACAUUUCGGCGAGCGAUCAAUGUUUUAAGUCUUCUAAACAAGACUUCUUACCGUGUUCACUCUUCAGGUGCGUCAUUUGAUUCAGGUGUGGACCUUGACGUCUGCACCUCUUGAUACGGUGUCACCCAUGUUCUUCAUUUGCCCAGGAGUUCGAAGUGCGGUGUUGGCAGUAUCUUGCUCAGUGUGUUUGUGCUCGUAGAUCCAGGUCCUUCACUUGGUGGAGUCUGGGAGUUGCAAAACUCCUCCAUAUUUUGCUCGAAGUGUACCUGCUCAUAGAGACAAGGUAGAGAUCAAGUGCAUGGGCCCUGUUGGUGGAAAACACCAACAUAACCAAAAGUGUAUUUGUUGUUCUCUAACCUUAAGCAUAGGGAGAAAGACAAAGUUGAUGGAUAAUAAGGUCAUGAGUGAAGCCUUUAAAACAUUUGUCAGAUCAGAUCGCUCAACCUUAUGGAAAGGUAAUCUAUCUGUGUAUAUGUCUUAUUGUUUAUAUCUUCCCAAAGAUUGAAUGUGCAACAUUUUAGCUUGCAUGAUUAGGAGUGUGGGAUCACAAAGGUGGAAGGACUAAACAUGUUGAAUCGAUUGGGUUGGUUAACCUAGAGUUGUAAAUCAUAUAUGUUUGUCUCUUUUAUUCAUAUGAACGCCAGAACCAAGGAGAAGCUUAUAAAAGUGAUAGUCAAGUACCUUAAGAUGUUACCUUACUUGAAGAGUGAUGGUACAGUAUCACCUUGUGGAAGCUUUCCUUUCUUAGCGGUUGUGCAUCGUGUUUGUGGCACCCUCCAUGGAUCAUCUCUUACGAGCUACAUCUUCCUUGUGUAAAUUGUUAAACUUGAUGUGUCUCUCUCUUUGUCUCCAAUGUGAGUUUAUCUCAGGACUUCCCAAAUCGAUAUUGAAAGUUUUUAUACAGGGGUUAGUCCGACAAAAUAUACCGAUGUCUACACAAGCAGUUUUAAGUUCAAUAACCGAACUAGACUCCAUGUCUAAUCAGAUUAAGGAAGGCUGUUUAACAUAAGCACCAUGCUUAAUUUAAAAGCCAAUAGAAGUAUAUGCAGUACUUCCAAACUAACACUUACUAGGAUAAACAAAGGUAGCGUGAUGUUAUUUAUAGAGAUCUACUCAAGUGGAGAUGAAGUAGUGUGAUUAGUAUUUAACAAAUUGAGCAUGUCUCAAAGAUAGGGACAAUCAACAUAGCAACAUGGCAAAUGAUGUUUUUAUGUAAGGUACUCCCCAAGCUUGAAUUUUGCAAAAUUCAAGUUUGGAUGGAUUUAAUUCAGUGUUGCAUGAUGAUUGGUUGGACAUACCUUGUACUUGCUUGUCGUUCAUCCGAUCUUCUUGCUCCAAUCCUGGAAAGGUUAGUGACAAGAAUACCUGAAGGAAUAUUUUUACAAUUAUCCUUAUGUGCUCAAUAUACCAGGUAAUGUUGCAAAUAAUUAAAAGCUCAUGUUACGAUCUGAUCAGUGCUUAUUUUAGGACACUAAGCUUGUCCUUGGGAAACCAUCAGUUUAUGUUGGCGAAGUGGUUUCCCCUCCAACGGUGACCUAUAUCAAGAUCAACUCAACGAGAUCUGCAAUAUUUAUUAUAGACAUAUGAAUCGACAACCACCCUUUUAAAGUUUUUAUAAAUAGAAAGGAAGAGGGGUUGGAGAUCUCAAAUGUGGUGAUGUUGGAGAGACCAAUAGAUUGGGAAGAUGUUGCAUAUGAGCAUGGAGUAAACGAAGUGGCUAUGAAAUAAAUUCCAAGCUCAUUAAUGUUAUCUUCAUCUCCAAUCUGAAUGUUCGGAGUUUCUCCUGGAUUGGUCUCACCUAUGUCCUCUUCUGUAGUUGGAUGAAUCUCAUCUUCAAAGGGAGUCAAGAACUCACCAUUUGAAAUUGAGCCAAAGUCAGAAUCCAUUAAGGCUUCUUCCUUGUCCAUCCAUUCUACACAUUCUAGCCAUUUAGAACUUGUGAUCAAGAUAGGGGAGCUGAUAGAAUCUUCUAUAUGGCUUAGCACUCCUUCUAUAGCAUUACUUGACAUGCCAUCCUUAUGGUCUUCAUGACUCCUAUGGUUUGGUCGUCUUGGUGAAUUGCUAGGAUCCUCAUGAGACUGGAAAGGAGAGUGAUUAGAGGGAUCUCUAAGGUCAAGGAUGGAUUUAGAACUUGUGAACGUGGAAGGGGAGCCGAUAGAAUUUUCUAUAUGGCUUAGCUCUCCUUCACUUGAUAUGUCAUCCUCGACUUCUUCGUAACAGGAACCAGGACAUUCUGUAAGAGAACCAUUAUUGCAAGGAUUUGAAUUAUCCCUACCUGAAGGUCUCUUAUGGAACCAGAAGUCUAAACCAUCAGCAUCUGAAAGAUUUAAGAUUGGAAUUCUUUCUCCCUUGGAGAAUUUUGGGGUAUUGAUGGUUUAGGAUUGAUAGCUAAAGUUUGGGAUUGAAGUGGUUGUGAUCUAGCUAUCGAAACUUCUUCUUCUUGUCUAGGAACUGGUUCUUUCUCUUUCUCAGGGAUAUAAAUGCUAGGAAACUUUCCACUCAAUGAAUCAAUUAAAUCCCUAGCUUCACUAGCAGGUAGGUGAUAGAAUGAUCCUUUAGAGGCUGUAUUCAAGGUUUGUUUAUUUCCCCUACUAAGGCCCUCAAAAAAGUGAAUUAGAAGAACUUCUUCUGGAAUAGAAAGCUUUGGACCAGUGAGAGUAAGGUUAAUAAAGCGAUCCCAUGAUUUGCCAAGAGAUUCUUCUUCCAGUUGUCUAAAAGAAAUAAUCUCACGCCGAAGUUCCGCCACUUUGGAGAUUGGAAAAUAUUUAGAGAGAAAACUAUUGUAUAGCUCCUUCCAAUCUCCAUGAGCACUUCCUAUGUUGAGUUUAUACCAAUGUCUAGCUUUUCCCGUUAAAGAGAACGGAAAGAGCUUCCAUUUAACGGUCUCAUCAGACAUGCCUUCAAUGCGAAGGAGGUCACAGACUCGAUAAAACUCUCUUAGGUGUGUGUAUGGGUUUUCCUCACCUUCUCCUGAGAAAGGUUGUUUUUGAACAAAUUCUAUGUAUUCGGGGUCUAUCUCAAAACUAGAUGCUUUGAUAGGCUUUAAAGAUUUUGGUGGUUCGAGAUGUGUGCCCUUAGGUCUAUGAAAUUCAUAGAUAGACAUGUUUGAAUUCAUGAUAGACCAGAGAUCAAGGAUUAGAUAAGAAGAAAGAAUAGCAGAGAUAAGGCAAAGGAUAAAAGGAAAAAUAUAUAUUUUUUUUGUUUUUUAGAAAAUGAUUAAGCUAGUUCGUAGUCAACUCAGCAACCGUUUCCCCAGCAAUGGAGCCAAAAAUGCUUGUUGACACUUGCUAACACCACUUGAAUACUACGUUGUCAUCCCCAGCAUGGCACUAGAGUGUACUACGGUAUUUAUACGCACACAGAUGAAUCCGCAAGCGCACGGAUACCGUUGUAGCUUUUACCCGGUUAAAGGUUUUAUCGUAUCCACAGGGAAACGGGAGAACUGAUCUACGCUCUAACUUAACCUAGAUAGAUAGGUAGGUGUAAAUAGGAAAGAUGGUAGAAUUGAAUAAGAACAAUAUUAAAGGUAAGAUAACAAUGGGUGAUAAUAUGGGAAUAGAGAGUAGAGCAAUCUAGUAUAUGGGCGAUGGUAGGAGAAUAAAGAGGAUAACUAUGGUUUCUCUACUUCAAAGGGGUAUGUCUAUGUCUGGGACGAACCACGUGAUAAGAAUACAUCACAAAGGAUGCUUAUCCAUAGGCUGAUAAACCCUACCCGUCCUGCUAACAGGAGGUGGACUACAGGGGACCAAUGUAACUGUCACCUACGCGGCCUACCACAUGAUCCGGCUAGACAGGGGAUAUCCACAAGUAAUCUAGGUCCAAGCACCAUGCUUACACCUAUACGACAACUCUCACCUAUAGCGUCCUAUAGAUUAAAGUACUCAAAAGAGUUGUGAACCAGAACAUACAUGGAUAGUAAUUGCAUAAUGAAAUAAGAAGUAGAUUACCAGAGUCAUCCCAUGAGCAAGCUUGAUUAGAGCUUGAUCAUGGCGAAGUACAACCAGAGGAAGAACCGAUAGGCCGGCAUCUCCUCUAAUCCUCCCUCGCUCUCCAUCUCACUACUAUCUAGAUCUACUCUAGUUUAGAGAUGAGAGGAGAGCUCUCAUCUCCAAACCCUAGCUUUUGCUCUGUCUAUGUAGAGGAAAGGUUAUCCUUCGAGGGCACCUCUCAACUCCAUAAUGAACUUGUUCUCCUCCAGGGGCCAGGGGGUCUGCUUAUAUAGUCCCCUCAGGUGAACGUGGGCCGUCGGAUCAAACCGACAUUGAUUGAAUGAUUAUCCUUGAUCCUUUAGGUCGGUGGAGCAUAAUCCGCGAGAUUGAACAUGAUUGGAAACAACACCUGGGCGGGCGCCUAAGGGGAAGGGCGACCGCCCUGCCCCCGAGCCCGAUCGGCUACCCGUUCGUUCCCGUGGCUUCUAGAGUCUUCUAGAUGAUAGAAAAUUGCGCGGCACGUUAAUAUCUCUAUGUAAACCCGACAUGUGGGGCUUUCCUCCAUAGUUCCUGAUAACCCCCUGCAGAAAUAGACAAACACCAAAACUCGUGGAAUUCUGUCAGAUAAAACCCUAAGUGUGGGUGUUGGUUGCAUUUGGAUCGUUUUCUGUAUUUAUUUGAUGAUUAUAUUUGGUACUUAAGGACUGUCAACAACCAUCCUCUCCGCCUCGUCUAGCAUCCCUGAUUCAAGCGACACCUUCUUCUCCACCUCAUCCAGUGCCUCAAACGGAAACAGACCUGGCCGAUGUGCCCGAACAGAUCACUGCUGAUCUAGGCACAUCAUCGGCCGUUCUCCCUAAACAGACAGUCGUCAUCCCUCCUCAAGGUAAAGUACCAAUCACAAAAUCAUUACCGAUGACUUCCUUUAUAAAUACCAUCAUCACCCUUUUUAAUUUCCAGUUGAAGAUAUUCCAUCGGUAGCUCCAGCCGAUCAAAUUAUAGUGCAUGCUGCAUCCCCACGCCAGAGACAAGAAAUCACCUUGAAACAAGUAAGUCAUCCGAUCUAUCAGAUUUUGCAUUAUCGAUACUUAAUUUUGGGUAACUUAUCUUCUUCUUUUUCUAGGAGCAAGAUUCUCUCGAUAGCUUGUUCUCCUUUGCCAUCGACAUCUCUGAUGCCGAAGGCAAGGAGGCAAGCUCCUCAAUGACGCUUGGAAUCGCAUCGGUAGAGAUCAAGUCCAAGCUGGAAGAUUUACUAGCUCUGUUGCAUCAAGACACAACCCAGCUAGUGGAUGAUUCUGAUCCAGCCAAAGCCAUAUUCAAGACUCUCCGUGGUUAGAUUCCAGCCGAUGCCGAGGAGAUUCUUUUUCAAGCUGCCCACCUAGAAAGUCGCCAACUUUAGUAUCAGAAGGCUACUCAAUGCCUUGCCGAUAGAGCCGCUUAUGCCCAACUCAAAGAGGAGAUGCUACAAGUGAAGCGCGCUGCCGAUGAGAAACACAAGAGCAUCGGCACUUUGCAAUCCUCAGGUGAUGAACUAAAAUAGAAGAUUUCCAAUCUAUCGGCAAGAAGAGAGGCCCUGCUUGCUGAACUUAAACAAGUAGAGGAAGCUCUGACCCAAGCUCAACAAGAAGAAAGCCAACUAUCCGAUGUGCUCAAGAAUCUUCAACAAGAGAGGGAUGCCCAAGCUCGUAAGGCACUUCUGUCACACCCGGUUUUAAAGAACAAAACCAGGCUAGCCAUAUGUGUGCCCAGGAAGUCCACACAUACAACAACAGAAGCAAUAAUAUCAAAAAUAGUGUUAUAUAGCGGAAACAUACUUAUAAUUAACACUUACAUAAGAGAAUCGUAACACAAUAACUAAUCUUCAGGCUCAAUCUUCACAGGGACGGCUGACUGGGGGUAACAUAUGCCUAGCACUUCUUGUAUUCUGAGAACAUCCUUCAUGAUUCCAUCGCUCUCCUCAUCAACUCUUACUAGUAAACUGGAGUGGUGGGAAAUAGCAAGAGUGAGCACAUAUCGUACUCAACAAGUAUAACCAGGGAUUCAUGAGGCUCAAAUGGCUGACACUGGUUUAACUGCAUUUAGCUUUUAAUAGUGGAGAGCAUGUUCAUAAUUUAAUAGCAAUUGUCAAGGUAGCAGUAAUAAUCCAUUAAUCACAUGAUCAAGUGUAAGCAUAAUUAAUUCUUAGCAUAAACGAUAAUCAAAUGAACAUAACAACUUAACAAGCUCAUCGUCGUCGCAGCAAGAACCCCCAAGGCCGCUCUUAACCGUGAGCACGGCUAGUAUACUAGUUUUAACACUCUACAGAGGUUGUACAUCUUUACCCAUGAGUCAUGAUUUACCCUUUCGCCCGAGGUGAUCAGCCUCUUAACCCACUCCCAAGGAAGGUCGGCAGGGAUCACUAUGAAGCCUUUCAAAAGUUCGUCUAACAUGUUAGGGCCGCAAGGUUUCCUUUGCGAGCAGAUAUAGAUACCCCAGGGGCUCGCACUAUACCCGUGUCGGUUCAGCCCCUCCGCCCUUUCGGGUAACCUCUAACAAGCUAGAAAAGGUCUUCAUACUAAGCUAAAGCCAGAGCCAUUAUAGCCCUCUUGGUUGCACUGUUAUCCCGGUGAUCACUUACAGACAAGAUCUCAUAUAGUUAUUUGUCAUCUUUUAACGUUUAUUGCAUAGCUAUUAAUCAUCUUACAAGAUCAUGGAUUAUAUCAAGCACUAGCACAUCUACACCAAAUGCAUAUCAAGUAGGUAGUAAGGAAUCCAGGAUAACAAACAUCUAUGAUUUUGCUAAGGUCGACAAGGUGAUAGCAUGCAUAUGAUAUAUAUGUGUAGUUAUAAGUGAAUAGGUAACAAGGAUGAUCCCAAGUUAUACUUGCCUUAAACACUUGCUUACUCCUCACAUCAUCAGCUUUCUGUCAUCAUCUUCUGAUCUUCAAUGCCCACAAACAGUUCUCGUCUACUUGCAUCAAGCACCACGCAUAGGCAAACAUACAAAGCAACAAAUAAAAGCAACUAAGAACAAUACACCACUCAAGACAAAACAAUAUACUAAAAGAGAACUAGUUCUACGGUCACAGGAUCGCAAGAAACACUAAUAACGAAGCCAUCAUAAUAAAUAAAUGACAUCAAGAGAUUUAUAUUACAUAAAAGAAACAACUACAAGCUUGAUUUAUUUUAGUUAAAUAAAACCAUAGAAAAUUUACUUAUUCAGAUUAGAUAAAUUAUAUUUAAACUUUAAAAAGUGAAAGUUAAUUAAUCAUGUUUUAUUUGUAAAUAUUAAUGUGUAGUUCAUUUAUCAAGUUAAAGUAGACAAGUGACAGCACGUGGAACAAGUUUACACUAACCAAAUUCAAUUUAAAAACACAUUUAUGUUGCUAAUAUCCAAAUUUACAGUUAGAUAUAAAAGCUCGACAUUGUCCUAUAUUGCUUUUGUUUAGCAACUAAUUUCAUGCACAUUGAUCCAAUUAAUGUUUAACUGUAAACACAAAAACUUAUGGCCUGCUAAACGUACUGUAUAUUAUAUCAAUAUAAAAUUAAUCAACAAAAAUAGACUAGCAUAAUUAAAAUGUCCGUACGAUGAAGGGUUAAAGCUGUAGAAAUUUUGUGGGAUUUACUAACAAGGAGAACCUGAGUUCACUAGAGAUGUAGAUACGUACUGUGCUUGGUCAUAUCGGACGGUUUCUCGGGCGGGCAUGUCCCAUACGUGAUCUGCUUUGCUGCUUACUUUGCUUGAACUACAGGACAACAAUGCUGUCAUUUACUGAAGAUACGUAGGCACAAAAGCUAGUGACUGUGCUGUAGAGAAUAGAUUAUGUAGGGAUACAAGGAGAUUCUCACCAAGGCUGAAGAUGAACGAACGACAGGCACAAACUUGUUGGAUGAGAACCAAAGAUCGAUCAUGGCAGCCUGGAGCGGCAAGAAGGGCGAUGAUCUGAUGAGGUUCGUGGUGGUUAUAGAGGUCUUUGAUGCGGAUCCAGCGGAUCGAUCGGAAUCAAAGGCAGCUUGACCGUGUCCAUCUUGAUGAAUCCGGCUUCUGGAGAGUGCACCACCGGCGGCUUGGACUUGCUCUUCCCAUGACCAAAGCUAGGAGAUUCAGAAGUCUAGAUUGAUCUAUGGCCUUUACGGACCACCAUCAGUUUGCCCAGAGCUAAGAUUAUUGUUGAUGGCAGCGGCACUUAUGAUCAGCAGGGCCCUAGGGCAACGGGAGCUCACUAUUUAUAGAUGGACUUGUAUAGCAUAAUGGACCUAGUGUCCUUGUAUGCGUGACACACAAAGAUGGCCUUGGAUCAUUACGUAAAAGCAUCGACCCAAAGAUACAAAAUAAAAGAAUAGAUCAAUGUGAGAGAGGAUUGCACACGGGCCUUCUUCCAUGCAUUAAUGAAAGAUUAAAGCAAAAAAAUGUUUGGUCGAAGAUGAUUUAGGAUUAUGAUUAGUUAUGCUCGGAGUUAUUUUAUUUCAUAGAUAAAAUAAUUCUAGAAAAGUCCAGAAUUAUUAUUUAAGCUGCGAAAAAUAUUUUAGGGAAAAUUCUUAGAGACAUUUUAGAACAUAAGGAACUCAAAUAAAGUAUUUAGAGCUCAUGAAAAGAUAUAUAGGAGCAUCUAAAAAAAUUAGAUUAUACCCACAGAAAAGCAAGAAAGAAUGCCAGAAAAGGUGGAAAAAUUCUUGAGAAGUUUUAAUAGGUCGAUUGAUGGAAGAUGAACUCAACAUAAUGCUUUAGAGUGGAAUAAAGGGAUAUGGAGAAAUGUAGAUGAAAGAUUAAGAUUAAGAAAGUAGAGGCUCGAUUAUAGAAAAGGAUAGAGAGACAUCGGAUAUAGAUCAACGACUUACUAAGCGCGCUUCUAAAAUUGUACCCACACACGACGCAAAGUCAAACAAAACAAAAAAAACAAGCAUCAUAUCACAUCACAUCAAGCAAAGACUCAUCAAAUUAAAUUUAGAAAAAUUUAAAGAAUGAUAUAUUUCAUAUAACUAAUUGACGCUAUUUCAAACUAAUGUUGGAAAUUUUCCAGAUUUCAAAAUAUUUAUUUAAUUAGUGUUUUCUAAGCACAACCUAAAAUUGAAAAUUUUGGGGUGUGACAAUAGGGGCUGAACCGACACGGGUAUAGUGCGAGCCCCUGUCCCUAUGUGUAUAGGCUGCGCGUCAUUGUGCCAUUCGGAAGGGGGUAUCUAUAUCUGCUCGCAAAGGAAACCUUGCGGCCCUAACAUGUUAGACGAACUUUUGAAAGGCUUCAUAGUGAUCUCUGCCGACCUUCCUUGGGAGUGGGUUAAGAGGCUGAUCACCUCGGGCGAAAGGGUAAAUCAUGACUCAUGGGUAAAGAUGUACAACCUCUGCAGAGUGUUAAAACUAGUAUACUAGCCGUGCUCACGGUUAAGAGCGGCCUUAGGGGUUUCUUGCUGCGACGACGAUGAGCUUGUUAAGUUGUUAUGUUCAUUUGAUUAUCGUUUAUGCUAAGAAUUAAUUAUGCUUACACUUGAUCAUGUGAUUAAUGGAUUAUUACUGCUACCUUGACAAUUGCUAUUAAAUUAUGAACAUGCUCUCCACUAUUAAAAGCUAAAUGCAGUUAAACCAGUGUCAGCCAUUUGAGCCUCAUGAACCCCUGGUUAUACUUGUUGAGUACGAUAUGUGCUCACUCUUGCUAUUUCCCACCACUCCAGUUUACUAGUAAGAGUUGAUGAGGAGAGCGAUGGAAUCAUGAAGGAUGUUCUCAGAAUACAAGAAGUGCUAGGCAUAUGUUACCCCCAGUCAGCCGUCCAUGUGAAGAUUGAGCCUGAAGAUUAGUUAUUGUGUUAUGAUUCUCUUAUGUAAGUGUUAAUUAUAAGUAUGUUUCCGCUAUAUAACACUGUUUUUGAUAUUAUUGCUUCUGUUGUUGUAUGUGUGGACUUCCUGGGCACACAUAUGGCUAGCCUGGUUUUGUUCUUUAAAACCGGGUGUGACAGAUUGGUAUCAAAGCUGUGUUGACUGUAGGACGUAUGCCUAGAUAGCACUGGUCGAUUUUUGAAACAAUACUUUACUAUAAAACUAUUUUAUGAUCCCUUGACUCUUUGAUUUUGAUUAUUUCUCAAUCCUUGUCUCGUUGUAUCCUCUCCUUGAUGGCUUCCUUUGAGCAAUUACUACUUACUCCCUUGAUUUUUAUUGUAUGUAGUUUUACAAAAAGUUUUCUGAUCCUACCUCAUACAAAAGUUUGAUGGCCUUUCAUCAUCUCUAAUCUACCCUUUAGGAUGACCACCAUUGUUGAAGAAACACGUGUAGUAUCGAUGUGUAUUGUGUGCUUGUCUUGUUUGGUGUGUUGCUUGUGUGUCAUCUCUGUUCCAGUGUUUUGAAGGAUGUUCUCAGAAUACAAGAAGUGCUAGGCAUAUGUUACCCCCAGUCAGCCGUCCCUGUGAAGAUUGAGCCUGAAGAUUAGUUAUUGUGUUACGAUUCUCUUAUGUAAGUGUUAAUUAUAAGUAUGUUUCCGCUAUAUAACACUGUUUUUGAUAUUAUUGCUUCUGUUGUUGUAUGUGUGGACUUCCUGGGUACACAUAUGGCUAGCCUGGUUUUGUUCUUUAAAACCGGGUGUGACAACUUCAAAUGAAGAAAAAGCUAAAGCCAGUAGAAGGUUCUGCCGAUGAAGACACCCGAGAGAUUUUGAGGAGGUCAACCAAAUUCGUCUGCGCACAAUAUCGGCCAUCCAAACCUUGCUGAACCUAUAAACUCUUCAUCGGCAGCUUGUUUAACUUCUUUCUCAAAAACUUUAAUCAUUUGGUCUAGCCGAUAGGACUGUUAUCGGCACAUAAACUCUUUAUGCAUGGCCCUUGUCCAGCCGAUAGGAUUGUUAUCGGCAUAUAUACUUUCAUGCAUCAACCUAGAUACUAGGGUAGUAUCUUUUUAUGUAUUUUCCAUUUAAUGCCCUAGGAAAUUCAACUCCUUCGAGAGUUUCUAAAAUAUAAGCAUUGCCAGGGGCAGAUCGAUUUAUCCGAUAAGGACCCUCUCAAUUAGGAGACCAUUUUCCAAAUUUUGAGCUUUUAGUCCUAAUCGGUAGAAUCAGCUUCCACACCAAAUCCCCAUUGGCAAACUCCUUGGUCUUUACCUUUUUAUCAUACCACUUAGCCACUCUCUUUUUAUUCUCUUCUAUGCUAAUUAAAGCACUUAACCGAUGCCCUACCAAAUCAUCCAACUCAUCUUUCAUCAAAGUAGCAUAGUCAUCGGCAGUUAACUAGCCCUGAGAAAACAUUCGCCUAGAACCAGUUUUAAUUUCCCAAGGUAGUACUGCAUCAUGUCCAUACACCAGUUGAUAAGGUGACACUUUGGUCGAACCAUGACACGCCAUCCGAUACAACCAUAAGGCUUGAUUUAAUAGAGUAUGCAAUCAUCUGGGAUUUUCCUCAAUCUUCCACUUAAUGAGCUUAAUAAUUCCUUUGUUAGAAGCCUCGGCCUGUCCAUUGUCUUGAGCAUAGUAAGGAGAAGAAUUCAACACUUUAAUCCCCAUACCGAUUGCAAAUUCAUCAAACUCUCCUAAUGUACUGAGCGGUAGUAAUUGUUUGGGGAAUGCCAAAUCGGUAAACAAUAUGCUCUUUUACAAAAUGAAUCAUGUUGGUUGAUGUAACUUUCUUCAAAGGAAUAGCAUCAACCCAUUUAGUGAAAUAAUCAGUGGCAACAAUGAUAAACUUAUGCCCUUUACUCGAUGGCGGAUAAAUUUGACCGAUGAGAUCAAUAGCCCAACCUCGGAACGGCCAAGGUUUAAUAAUAGGAUUCAUAGCCGAUGCUUGUGCUCUUUGAAUAUUACAAAACUUCUAACAUCCUUGACACCCUUUGAAAUACUUGAAACAAUCCUCAAGUAUUGUUGGCCAAUGAUAUCCGUUCCUUCUAAUCAUCCACUUCAUCUUAAAAGCUAAUUGAUGUGCUCCACAUACUCCCUCAUGAAUUUCACCCAUCAAGCUUUUGGAUUCAUCAUCACCUAAACAUUUAAGCAAAACUCUAUCUAUUGUACGAUAAUAUAGUUCUUCUUCAAGGAGUACAUACUUUGUAGCUUGAAACCUAACACGUCUCUCAACUUUUCUGGAUGGAUCUUUUAAAUAAUCAAUAAUUUCUUUUCUCCAAUCAUCAGCACUGACUGCCGAUAAUAUUUCCAAGAUGGAUUGAUAUUCUGAGGCAUGUUGAGCCAAUCGGUUAGCUUCUUCAUUAUGCAACCGAGGAAUAUGCUCUAAUUGGAAAUCUCUGAAUCCUUUCAAUAAUUGUACACACCUUUCAAAAUAUGCUAUCAAAACUUCACUUCGGCAUUCAUAAGUCCCAGCCAACUAAUUUAUAACGAGCAUAGAAUCAUCGAAAAUUUCGACAACAUCGGCAUGAUCUUCCUUUAAUAAUUCUAGUCCUUUGAUUAGAGCUUGGUACUCAGCUUGAUUGUUUGUCGAUGCAGCAACAAUCGGUAAAGAAAGCUCAUAUUUCUUUCCUUGAUGAGAAAUCAAUACUAUACCGAUACCUACCCCUCAAUCACAUGUAGAUCCGUCAAAGAAGAGUGUCCAAGGGAGAAUUUCCAAAGCACCCACUAAAUCACAAUGCUGAGUUACAAAAUCAUCCAUGAUCUACCCUUUAACAGCCUUAGCCGAUUCAUAGCCGAUUCAUAACGUAAGUCAAAUUCCGAUAAUGCUAAUAUCCAUUUGCCGAUUAUACCACUCAUAAUCGGCAUCGAUAACAUGUAUCUGACUACAUCAUCUCUGCAUAUGACACUGCAUUCGGCUGAUAGCAAGUAAUGUCUCAAUUUGAUACAAGAAAAGUACAAGCAUAAGCAUAAUUUUUCAAUUGCCGAAUACCAUGUCUCAGUAUCCACCAAUCUUCUACUCAUAUAGUAAAUUACACACUCCUUCCCUCCAAAUUAUUGAAUAAGAGCCCAACCGAUGACCGCAUCAUCGGUAGAUAAAUAUAAUCUGAAGGGCUUUCCAUGCUGAGGUGGAACCAAUACUGGAGGAUUUGCCAAAUAAUUCUUGAUUUCAUCCAAGGCUAAUUGUUGCUCUUUUCCCCACACAAACUACUGACCAGCUUUCAAUUUAAGAAAAGGGGUGAAAGCAUGAAUCUUACUCAACAAAUUAGAUAUAAAUCGUCUGAUAAAAUUAAUCUUGCCGAUCAAUGAUUGAAGUUCAGUUUUAUUGGUAGGAGCAACUACUUUGCCGAUCGCAUCAAUGGAUCUCCUACUAAUCUCAAUUCCUCUCUGAUGCACCAUGAAACCUAGAAACUGGCCUGCCGAUACACCAAAUGCACAUUUAUUAGGGUUCAUCUUCAAACCAUGCUUCCUUGUACAUUCCAACACUUUUCGCAAAUCGGCUAAAUGUUUUAUGAAAUCCCCAGACUUAACCACCGCAUCAUCAAUAUAGAUUUCUACCAACUUGCCGAUGAACUCAUGGAAAAUAAAAUUCAUGGCCCUCUGAUAAGUAGCACCAGCAUUUUUCAAGCCAAAAGUCAUGACUAUCCAUUCAAACAAUCCAAUAUGACCAGGACAUCUAAAUGCAGUCUUGGGAAUAUCCUCCUCAGCCAUGAAUAUUUGAUUGUAUCCUGCAUUGCCAUCCAUGAAACUAAUAAUUCAAUGUCCAGCUGCAGCAUCAACCAACAAAUCGGCAACCAGCAUUGGAUAACCAUCCAUUGGCGUAGCUUUAUUGAGAUUUCUAAAGUCGAUGCAAACGCGAAGUUUUCCAUCCUUUUUGUAGACAGGAACAACAUUAGAAAUCCAUUCGGCAUACCGACAUUGCCAAAUAAACUUAGCUUCAAUAAGUUUGGUUAUUUCGGCCUUAAUAUCAGGAAGAAUAUUAGGAUUACAUCGGUGUGCUGGUUGCUGAUGUGGCCGAAAUCUAGACUUAAUAGGCUACCGAUGUUCAACAAUUGAUCGGUCUAAACCAGGCAUCUCGGUAUAAUCCCAAGCAAAGCAAUCUUUAUAUUCCUUUAACAAAUCGGUCAAUUGCUGCUUACAUUCAGAAUCUAACUUAGCACUAAUAAAGUUAGGCCUUGGCCUAUCGCCACUUCCUAUAUCUGGUACCUCUAUUAAAUCAUCAGCCAAUGUAAACCCCUGUCCUAACUUUCCGUCAUUAGCGAACCUAUCCAUUAAAACUCUUCAUCAGAACCGACUACUUGGAUCGGUGGAAUUUCAUAAUCGGCAACCUUGAGAAAAUCUUUCUCCCAAACUUCUCUUGAUAUACAUCUAGUCUACUCAUAUGUAUCUGACUCCGUUGAUGCAACGACAUAUGAGGAAUCUCCUGGGACAAUCUCAAUCUUGUCACCUACCCACUGAACAAGGCAUUGAUGCAUUGUAGAAGGAAUACAACAAUUGGCAUGAAUCCAAUCUCUCCCCAGUAGUAAAUUAUAUGCACCUUUUCCAUUGAUAACAAAGAAGGUCGUCGGCAAGGUCUUCCUGCCGAUGGUUAAUUCAAUGCAUAUAGCUCCCUUAACUGGAGACACAUUUCCUUCAAAAUAUUUCAACAUCAUAUCGGUCUUGGUCAAGUCCUGAUCUCCUUUGCCAAGCUUCCGAUACACCGCAUAUGGCAUAAUGUUAAUUGCGGCUCCCCCAUCAAUAAGUAUUUUGGAAAUCGGCUGCCCAUCAACCCUGCCUUUGACAAACAAAGCUUUAAGAUGUUGUCUUUCAUCAUCGGAAGGCUUCUCAAAAAUAGGGAUCAAGUGCCAACUGUAACAUCUCCGAUGUUACGGUUACUAAAAACGGAUCAUGUCAUCAUAAGCAUUGCAAAGCAUAGUUGUUAAAGCACAUUUGUAUGCAUCAACUUAAAACAAGUUUAUUUUUAUUGCUUGAGCUUAGGGAGGUAGAGUGUGUUUAUGUGGAAUGUUGAUGCUUGUGUGGUUGCUAAAAUCCUAGGGUGGAAAUUUUCCGAAAAGCUAAGGGGGGAAAAACCCUGAUUUCUGGAUCCUAGAUUUGCCCCCUUUUGCAUAAGUCAAAAACUAAGCAAAAUUUGAGGUUGAGUUCAAAAGAAAAGUUGUAGCUCUUGGCAAGAUGUACAACUUUGGUGUUUUGAGUUUUUGAAGUUUCAAUACAAAAUUCAAAGUAAUUUUGAAAAUACAGAUUUCCGAAAAGUGUCCCCUUUUCCAAAUUAAACCUCCAAUUCAAAAUCCAGUGGGAAUUUUGAGAAGUGGUCAACAUGAAAGUUGUAGAACACAAAAAGUUGAGCAACUUUCAUGUUGGGAGUUUUUCAAGUUGUUUAGGAAAAACAAAAGUAAUUUUGGAAAUUCUAAUCUGCCCCAAUUCAAAAAUUUGAAUCCUCUCCAAUUGAAUUUUGAUUUCCAAACUGUUUUGGCCAAAUUCACCCUGUUACACUCAAAAUCAGCUCUGGUCACCGAAACAUGUUUUGUAGCUUAUAAAAUUUGGAACAACUUUUGUUUUGACACAAAUUUGACUCCAGUUCAAAUUUCGGCUGAAUUUCACAAAGUUCAGAAAAGAGAGGAUAAGGGUCUGCUACAGUGACCCGAUAGGGAUCACCGGCUCCCUGUCCAGCUCGGCCGCCGCGCGCGCAGCGCCGCGUGCGCGCGCGCAGGCACGCAGCCUGCCUGCCUGCUAGCGUCGCCAGGCGACGUGGAUGCCCCAGGCUCGUUCCCCUCUCCCCUUGGAACACCAGCGUAGGCGCCGCCGCGCGUUUCCUCUGUUCUGAGCCAGAGAACCCGACGAGCUUCUCUCUUCAAUUCACCGCAACCAAUCCUUCCCGAGCUGAAUUGACCGGUCCAUAGCAUCCGCCACCUCCUUGCGAACCUAGUGCACCUCCGAGCUCACUCCCUAGUCCACUCAAUCGCCGGAACACCCCCCCCCCCUCUCUUCUCCAACUCCGGCCAGGGGCGCCGCCGAGAAAUCCUUCACGUGGACACGCUGCUCCAGUCGGUACCACGCCUUGAAGGCGGUCGUUUCGAGUUCUUCUUGUUUCCCCGAUACUCAUGCGCUCGCUAUUUCUCACUGGACGCCAACAGGAUCGCCGGAACAACCUCGCCGGAGCCGGAGCACCCGCCCGACUACUCGGCCAACGACGCCAGAGUCUUCUACUGCUUCUCCCGCCGUGGUGACGUGAGCACCGUACUCCUUAACCCUCCUGGAAGCUCCCGGUUCCAUUCGUGUGCACUCUACCGGGCUCUAGCGGCCGGCCGAGGGUCGGCCAUGGCGGCCGCCCGCCUUUCUCGUGGCCGGGGUGGUGGAGGUAGGGUAGAGCGUGGAUAAAGGGUAUCAACGUGGUCGCGAUUUCGAGGCGAAGCGUUUGCGCACGCACACGCAGGCUAAAAACCUCGCUAUCGGCGGCCGGAAGCGCGGCAAGGCCGUCGUGCACGAGGGAGGCGAAGCUGACAGGCGGGACCCGCCUGUCAGCGUUCCGCAGCGUGAGGAGAGGGGGCAGCGCGCGCCGUCCACGCGGGGGAGCGCCCCCGGGCCGAAUUGGGCCGUGUCCAAGCGGGCCGUCUGCGCAGCAGUGUGGUUUUUUUUCCUUUUUCCUUUUUAAUUACAAAUGCUUGAAGUUUAAAAUUGUGUAGAAAACUGUGUGGUGAUCCAAAAAUGAUAAAAUUUUUUGUGUAGAUUCCCUGAAAUAAGUAGAACCCAAGAAAAAUAUUAAGUUCUGCUUUCUAAUAGUUUGCAAGGAUAUAAAAAUUGGCCCUUUUAAUUAGCAAAUAAAAUUUGUAUGAUUUUUAAUAAUUUAUUGGUAUGUCCAAAAAUCACCAAAUUUUGUGAACAGCCUCUGAAUAUUAUUCCCUGGCUCCACACAAAAUUUGGUGGCAUUUGGGUAAUGUUUGACUAGAAUACUAAUAAACCCUUAUUUAGUACUUAAAUAAUAAUUCCAAAACCAUUAAAAAAAAUAAAAAAUAAAUAAUAAUUAAUUAAAUUCUCAUGAUUAGGGUUGAGUGAUUUUGGGAUUGUGUGAUGACCUGAGGUCAUUAACCCUAAUGACCUUUGGCAUUUAAUUAUUGUUUAGCCUUAAUGCUUAAUUACUGUCAUUAGUAAUUAAUUAAGAAUUAAUUAAAGUAAAUAGGAUUAAUAAUCAAUUAAUUUAAGAUAAUUAUGAAUUAAGUAAAGUCUUAGUUUACAGAUGCAACCUCUUGGGUAAAAACAUUAAGAUGUUAAACAACUGUAUUUACUGAUUAUUCUGUAUUGCAUUGGGAAGGCAAAAUUGUACUUGAUUUGGCCCUUCUUGCAUAAUUGUCAUACGCAUAUCAUGAGCAUUCAUCAUUCUGCGUAUAGUGUCUGUGACCGAAGGAGCGCCCGUUGAACCGAACCCCGAGGUCGGUGCUCCGUUCGAGGAAGUCGGAUCCGAGACUUGGGAAGUCUCCGAGGGUCCCUCUCUGCCCUGCAACCAAGGCAAGCCCCGGAUGCAUUAACCCCUCCUUGAAUGUUUUAAAGCUUUUAUCACUUGUAAAUUGAAAAUGCUGCAUUAGGUAGUUAAGAAUUGGGUUAACCUACUUGCUGCAUUUACUACCUUGAUAUCUGUUAUCCUGUCCUUGACACCUGUUUUAUUUUAAAACUGCGUAGCGAUGCUUAGCCCUGCUACUAGAUAGGUUUUCAAACAAGAAAGUUUGAAGGGUUGUUGUGGGAUACACUUAUGAUCAAUGAUGUUUCAAUUUGAGACCGGUCGGUGGACUUGCUCUAAGAAUGGAGUCUUAAAGUAGUGUCUCCGACUGUGUUGAUUAAGGACCGUUCCGUUGAUGGCCUGCUGGGUUGAGAAUUUGUAGUACUAGCCACUUGCCCUCGGUAAGCCCGGUCUUGUGAUCCCUCGACGCGAACAGCUACUCGCGCACUGGGAGUGGAAAGAUGGCGAGAGUAACGUGUGCCCACCUUACGGAUCGGAGAUGACCGGAAAACAUCUAGAUCGGCUGUAGGAUGGUGGGGUACUGUGCUCUCGGGUGCCGCGAACCUGGUCAAAUUUGGGGAGAGCUUGAUUUGGGUUGAUGUAUGCAAGAUUUGGUUCUACAUAUGUCGGGUGGUUAGGAACUCCAGCUGGAUUGCUAAGCGAUUCGAAUCGUCAUUGCUCCCCGAUUGGGAGACUCAAUUCCUUCGACCCUCAUCGUAGUUAAAUAUGCAACUAAGUGAUAAAAUGAGGAAAGGGAAAAUGUCCCAUGAGGUUCGGAUCCCAAUUCCCGGACUCAUAGCGACAUGAAGCUAUGGCCAUCGAUAAAUAAUACUUUGUGAUGGGACUAGGAACUCACGGAUUCGUCUGUGGGGAACAACUAGUUAGACUGUCCUCGAACUCCUCAGCCUCUGCGAGGGAGGAAUUCGCGGGUAAAACUUGAAAAUAAGGACGCACUACUAGUAAGCUUUUUAAGCAAAACACUUUGGGCUCCUUGCUCAGCCACCCCUUGUCUACCCUAAGCCUGCAUCCCUUAGUUCUCCUCUUUUCCCAUCGGGUAAGACUUGUUGAGUACUCCCGUACUCAGGGUUUCGAUACCCCUAUUGCAGGUGAAGCGCAGGAGCCGACUUGUUUCGGUCCCUGCUGUGUGACCGUCGUCGAGGUUGACGACGAAGAAGAGUGAGCGUGACCCAUGGGCAGGGUCUGUAAAUUUGUACUCUCUGUAUUAAAGUUUAAGUUGCUCCGCUGGACCAGGCUUGUAAUAACACUCUACUAUUUGGAAGAACUCCUUUUGUAAAUUAAGUUAUGUAACACUUCCGUUGUUUCCCUCUGAAAUAUUAUUUUUGGUCUUGUGUCGUCGAGUUACUGCUUUAUCUUCGCAGCGAAUGAUCCUGGUGUUAAGGUGGCCACUUGCUAUCCUAUAAAGGCGAGAAGAAGCAGUUCUCGUUGUUUGACCAUUCCCAGUGGUCAGGACGAGCCAGCUUGGUACGCCACAGGUAGCAGUGGAAUGAGCACCCAGCGAUGCUCAUCGGACUUCUAAAGUGGGAGGACUCCCAGCAUCACCGUCAGAGGUCCUUAGGACAAUGGCAGGUGCCGGUGGGUCCAAACACUUAGGGGGUUCUGCCACACCAACUGAGCUAUCUGACCAGCGAGACUUAUUUCCUCAUCAUCACUAAAGAGCGCAAGAAAUUCCAUCGGCAACAUAAACACCAUGGUAACAUCUGCUAAUGGCCCUUUUCCUUUGGGAUUUGUUUGCUGCUGAUUCUCAGACUUAGAAAAAUUCUCCUCUCUAUACAUAUCUACUUGGCGUUCUCACUGCAUUCUCCUUUUCUGCGUCCUUGUUAACCCCUCUAGGCAUUCUUAACGUUAUUACCAAAAGUAGACUUAGUUUUCUAAUUCUGAUAACGGCGCCAAAAAUGCCAAACCUAUCCCUCAUGUCACUUAAGCCAAGUUGUCAUCCCUAGCAUGAAAUGAGAGACGCGGUAUUGAAAUAUGCAAUUGCUCUUCUGAAUGAAUAAUAAAUGAGAUCUGCAAGCGCACAGAUUAAUACCGAUGUAGCAUUUUAACCAGGAAGUAUUCUAGGUAUCGAUAUUUAUAUUUUUACCACCGGGAAGGGAUUGCUAAUCAUCAAUAUUGAUUAUGGAAUGAAAUAUGGAAUUGAGUAUCUAUCAUUGCAUGUGUAAUAGAGAGUAUUUAUCUAUCUCUUUCAUACAGGGAUAAAUGUCACAUAAAAUAUAGAUAAAGUAUGAAUGGUGACAAAGAUAAUUAAUCUGAUCAGCAUAACUAGCCACAUAUAGUAAGGAUAAGCACCUCAACAGAUAUCCUAGUAAGUAAUUAGCAUGGAAUUAGGAUGAACUACGAGAAUAUUUCCUAAGUUAUCCUUAACUCUAAAGUCUAGCAUAUCAUAGUUAGUGCAAUUAUAUUUGGCAAUCAUUGCGAGACAGGACUACGCCCAUGCAUAGUGAUAUUACCAAGGAAGAUGAGAAACAUAGCAAUCACUCCCCUCUAAUAAUGUUGCUCUGCCUGCCCUAUACACAGGAGGGGGACUAUAUAAGAAUCAAUGGAGCUGUCACCACCACGAACUACCCCGCGAUCCGGCAUAUAGGGUACAAUCGCAGAUAAAUACGGUAUAGGCACUACGCCUACACAAUACUUAUCAUUUACCCACUGUACACAUGGAUAAACGCUAUACGAUCCUAAACAUGUAUAUAAUUCCAAUCUAACUAAGCCAAGCUUAUAACUAUGAUAAACUAAGAACGAUAUAAUUGCAAAUAUAAACAAGUAGAGCAAAGUCAUAAUCAAUAUAUUGAAGUAGAACAAAGUCAUAUUCAUAAUAUUAAAGAACAAUGAUGAACAAAUGAAGAACAGUAGAGGAAUUACUAAGAAUCCUCUUGAUAGAUCCGGAAACCAAUCGAAGAUUGACUCCUUCUAGUUCUAAUCCUAUGUAGCUAUGCUAAAUUAGAGAUCUAGUUGAUGUGGUGGCUCUAGGGCUUGAUCAGAGACUUCUUCUCCCGAGAUGAAUGAAUGAAUUAGGGUUUCAGAGGUCCUCUCCUCUAGGGACCAGGGGGCCUGCUUAUAUAGUCCUUCCAAAUGAAUAUGGGCCAUCGGAUCCAACCGACCUUAAUCGCACGGUUUCCUUAAUCCUCUAGGUCGGUGGAGCAUGAUCCACGAGACUCAGCCUAAUUAGCUGCUGAGCCAGGGCGGACGCCCAAGGGGGGAGGGCGGGCGCCCUGUCCCCAGGCCCGCUCGGCCUCCCGCUCGUUCCCGUGGCUUCUGGACUCUUCUAGGUUAGGGAAAAUUGCGCGGCACGUUAAUAUCUCUAUAUAAACCUGACGUGUGGGCCUUUCCUCCAUAAUUCCUGAUAACCCCCUACAAAAAUAGACAAACACCAAAACUCGUGGAAUUCUGUCAGAUAAAACCCUAAGUCUGAGUGUCGGUUGCAUUUGGGUCCUUUUCUCUAUUUAUUUGAUGAUUAAAUUUGGUACUUAAGGACUGUCAACAAACUCCCCCAAGCUUACCUCUUGCUCGUCCCUGAGCAAGGAUAAUCUCAGUGAUGGAUCAGAAGUUGCUGAAAUGCCUUUGAGUUUUGAUGGUACACAUGCUUUCAAAUAAGGUCUCAUCUCUGAGUUAGAGUAAACCGUCAAGACUUAAAACUUACUCAUUUUACCUUUCACCAUGGGACUUGUAACCGUCACUUCUAUCUUGAGCAGUUAAAAGAUAGAAUGGUCUAGUCAAGCGCCAAAUUUCUUAUUCUUGAUCAGCUAUAGCUCUGGAGUUUUUGUAGAUUUUCAAAUAAAACUCAGAGAUUCCUUAUAUGACUCUCUCAGAUCUCUCUUUUGUGGUAUUUCUGGAUCCUUAACAAGGCAGCGAUGGUAUAUGCCUUCUCUCAAAGUAUGUAGUAUUUGUGGUAUAAAGUAUAGUGACCUUGUCUUCUCUCUCACCCUACUUUCAUAAGGCUUUUGAUAUCUAGAGCUCAUAGGUGGGAGAUAAAGUAUACAUACUUACAAUACAUUUAUUGCAUAGUCAAACCAUGGAUCCAGAGAAACAUGUCAAUAAGUCAAAUCAAGAUGUGCAUGUGUGGCGAAUGAAUGGUGUAUUGUGAUGAUGGUGAUAACAAUGGUGAAAGUCUAAUUCUACUUUUUGCCCUUUUGAGGGGAUGCUUACCUUUCUUGCUCUUUUGAAACUUUUUGAGGAGAAUGAGAUGCUCUACAUUUUAUUUUUCUUUCCUCUCAGGUGGGUAUUGCACCCCUAAUUCUACUGUCGGACACUUGUCCAUUUUUUUACCUCUCGUCUCACUUUUUCUUUUCUUUCGAGGUUUCGGGCACUUGUCCCUUUUUAUUUCCUCGUAUCCUUUCUUUUUUAAGCACUCAUCUCCUAAAAUAAUAUAGCAAGUGGUAGUAACCAAGAUAACUUGAGCAUUUAUUCCACAGGGAAAAACAGAAAUAGGAGAAUGUUUUUGGCUAUUCUCUCCCGAAUUAGGAGUAGAAUACUUUUGGGUGGCUCUGGAGAUGGAAAUGAGUGGAUAUAUGUGGAUGCGUACUUCCAGAGUAGAAGCAGCAUGUGUGAGUGAACGUGCAAGUGAAUCUUGAUUUUAACCGCAUGACAAGCUCCUAAAGGUCUACACAGCUUGACCACACUCAAUGCUUAUAAGCAGUAAAAAGUAAAUGUGUGGCUCAAAGUCUAGCAAGCAUGUAUAUAUGGCUGUGGUAGGAAUUUAAACUCUCAUCAUACACGAACUCAUCAUGUGUUAUUUUAAAGAUUUUCAAUGAUAAAUUCUCUAGAAUUCUAGCAUCUCUAGGAACAGAUAAAUAGCAGCUCAACCUUCCUAUAUCAUAUCCGUUAACAACUUAGACUUCAGAUCAAGUUCUCUUCCCACAAGUUCAAGUUUUUAGAGCAAUCUUUAAAUUAUAACAGUUAUGUCUAAACUAGAGAGAGAACUCAAAUUUGAAAAUUAGGCAGAGCAACUAUUCAUCAUAUCCAUGCUAGAGUUUUAUUAAGAUUCAGUUUAGCAUAGCCACUUUAUUUAUUUAUUAAGCACAUUAAGCAAAAGAUAUAUAUAUAUAUAUAUAUAUAAGAACAAAAUCUUUAUUUGGUUUUUCAUGGUUAUGUAUAUUUUUUUUUAAUAUAGUGUAAGUAUAAAUGUAGAUAGAAAUACUUAGCGGGAUAAAUGGGGGUGCUCUCCCCCAAGCUGGAUUUUGACAUAAUUUCUUCUCAUAUAGCUAGCAGGUGGUGGAGGUGUAUUUGAAAGUCGGUAGCACCCUGACAGCGAUUAGAAUGUCCUCCGUCUGCUAGUCUUCUUGAUCCUUGAAUUCUGUGGAGCUCAAAUAGACAACAAAGCUUUGUGGAACUGAUUAGGUGUUAGCAUAAAUAUCUAGCCUUUAUCAUGUUGAGCCUCCUCAAUAAAUGCUACUUUCUUUGGUAGGAUCACAAUUUUAUUUUUAUAUUUUCAUUUUUAUAGAGCAGAAGGAUAUUUUUAUUUUAUUAUUUUUUUAUGCCACCACAGUGAAUGUACUUAUGGGUUUUAUGCCACUUCUAUACUCACAUGGGGCUUACUGGUUUUAACAUUUUUAUUUUUCUUUUCAAGAUGUUAUGAACCUGAUUAACUGAACUAGCUAUUUUUAAGAAAAAGUAAAUGAUUUGAAAGGAAAGGGAUAACUACCGAGUUUACCUCUUGGCAAGGCGUUCGGUGUUUUUAAGUCCUCCGAGCGGGACUCUCUGUUUUCUUAGUUGUCCUGGGAUUCGCUGGAUAGCGUAGUCGGUGGUUCCGGCGGCGCCUCCUCUUCGUGUAUAACUAUCUUCUCUCUCCACACCUGACUCGGUGCUACAGUCUCCUCAGGACAGUUCUGUUCAAGCUGUAUGUCUUCAGACCUUACCACUUCUCCUUCGUAGUCUGCCCAUCCGUCCUUGAUGAUUUGCAUCCUCUGGUUGCGGUUGUGUCGUCUUCUUCUUGUCCUGAUCUGCUUAGAGUCUUCAACUAUAUAGUUAGGGUGAGUAAAAUAGCGGCGUACCUUCUCAGAGGGGAAGUGCAUGUGGACUUCUCCGGUUCCAAUGUAGAUGAUUUCUUUAACGGUGCUGAGGAAUGGUCUCCCAAGGAUGAUGGGUGGAUCGUACUCGUCUUCUCCCAUGUCAAUAACCUGAAAGUCUGUAUGGACAAAAUGAUCGUAUAUUUUGAAAGGGACAUCAGUUACUAUACCUUCAACCUUUUGGAAUGUCUAAUCUGCCAUCUCGAGCUGAAUGUAUGUCGGUUUUAGGGGCAUGGUUCCGAAUAGGAGCUGAUAGGUGACUGCGGCCAUUAUGUUGACGCCCGACCCGAUGUCGCAAAGCGUCUUGUGGAAGUUGUAUCCAUUAAUGGAGCACUGGAUGCUUGGCAUACCUGGGUCGUCCUUCUUGGUCAGGAAUGGUGACUUGAGUCGACGAUCUUGACCUCUUUAAACUACAGUGACCAUCUUAGCUGACUUGGUCCACACUUGCUUGUUCCUGUUCCUCCUAUUGGUCCUCUUCCUUGGUUCAUGUCGGUAUUGCUCUGGGAUUUGUGUAGUCUUGUUCUUGAAGGAAAACGUCUCCUUCCUCCCCUUGAUGUAGAAACUGAUAUUGGCAGCACUAGCGUAGAUGACAGCUCCCGAGGUGUUCAGGAAUGGCCUCCCUAAGAUGACGGGUGCCCUCUCAUUAGAACCGGUCUCUAUCACCACAAAGUCUGCUGGGGCGUACAAGGUGCCAACUCGGACGCAGAGGUUAUUCAAUAUUCCCUUGGGGAAACUUAGCGUCCGAUCUGCAAGCUGCAAACACAUGGUUGUUUCUAGCAAAGGAUGUGUAAAUAAUUUUUCAUAGAGUACCCUAGGCAUAAUGUUGACGCUGGAGCCAAAGACGCAGAGUGCUUCUGGGAAGUCCACCAUGUCGAUGGAGAUCGGGAUGACGGGGUGUCCUGGAUCGCCUCUCUUGACCGGUAGAAGGUCAGUAGUUACUUCCGCAACGGGGUUACUCCAAUAGUCACCUGUAUCAAACAUGUCUACAAGAUUUGCAGAUUCUAAUCCUUCCGGUUGUGAUGGUAUACCGGGGUUAGUAGCAGGAACAACAACAGCUAUUUGAUUUAACUGAGAUUGAUGGCAGUAGAGAAAUUUUCCAUUCUAUUAUUUAUAUUUUCUAACAUUUUAUCAUUAGAUGCCAAUUUCUUAGAUAGGUUAUCCAUUAGCUUUCCUUAAUUAGACACUAACUCUCUCAGAGGUGGAAAAUUAUUAUUAUUAUUGUAAGAAUUCCUACCUUGAUAAUUACUUGAGUAGUUAGGCCUCUGUUGAUUCCAACCUUGAUUUUGUUGAGGACGGUUGUAGUAGUUGUUGUUGUUGUUGAUGAUUAUGUAGUUCACGUCCUCAAGCAUCUCAGGGCAGUGAUUGCGUGAGUGUCCAGUAUCUCCACACCCCUCACAAGUCAUGUGAGAGUCGUAGACGUGCAUGACUUCCUUAUUAUCUCUAGCUUUAUCAUCGAGCUUCUUCAUGAGCAGGUCUCGCUUGGCAGACAGGAUGUCUACCUCCUUGAGCUGGUGCAUACCUCCACCUCUCUUGCGUGUCU